UUUUUUUUUUUUUUUUUUUUUAGUGUUUUGUUCGUACAAGCAGUAAUGUAUUUCCAAAUAACGACUUAUGUUAAAUCAAGUUAAUCUCUUGUUAUUGAGGUAGUAAUUAUAUUGCCAAAGAAAAGUAUUAUAGUAAUUAUGUCAAUUUUUUUUAAUGGGUGCUAUGUGAUUCCUAGAUAAAUCCUAGCUAUUCCAAAUUUUUUUUAUCUAAUUUUUUUGUACAUAGAAAAAUAGCUGCACGUAAAUGCAUUCAACGUUAAAUUUUUUCUCAUUUAUUUUUAAAAUAUUAAUUGUGCGUUCCUUAUAAAAUUAAAAUUAAAUUAGUGGUCUUGGCCUAAAUUUUUGAUAAUUUUUUCACCUUAUUUACACAAAUUUACUUGCAUUAUUACAGCGUAUUUUUCAAUUACUUUUUUAUAUUACAUAUAUUAAUAAAAAAACUUACAAUAAUAUUAUUCUUUUAUAAAAAUUAUUUCAAAUAAUUUCUAUCCAAACGCGCUUGUCUCGUGACUUGUGAGUUAUGACUCCAUUAAGGAAAACGCCAUCAGAUACGUUGCUGCAAAAGUGGAGUGGGGAUAAAUAAAGUGUUGAUCAGUCUCUUGUUGACUCCCGCACCCACAGAACACGCUAGCUAGCAGUAGGCCGGAGAGUUGACUAGGACGGGGCAGCGGUGGCGACCAGAAACGCAGAAUAGGAGGAGGACGUCCCCAAAAAAGAUCAAAAGUCAAGCCGAGAAGCCACCGGAAAACUCCACUAAGAGUAAAUUACAAAAAGAAAUUAAAAAAAAAAGAGAUUAUCCAUAUAUAGUUUUUUUGUCAGUCAUGUAAUGGUAGUAUCAUUAAGUAAGUGGGGUGGUUUAUUAAGAAGGUCAGGUGGCAAAAGCCGCAAAGACUUGGCUGCUUUUGCUUCCAGCUGCUGCCGCCUUGCUCGGUAGACCCGGCGCCCCAAACCUAACCUAAUCGGGGCUUCUUUCGAUUUUAGGUGUAGAAAUGGGGAAGUGGUGGCGGUGCGAUAUCCGCUAUCUUCUCCUGCUUGCUGUGAUCCCUUUCAUCUACGUCCAGGUCCCUCUCUCUAUCUCUCUCUGCCCACAUUGCUUCCAUUUCUGUUAUCGAUAAACCCUAAUUUUUCUCCUUUCAUUACUCCUCCUAUUUCCUUAAUGACGAUUUCAGCUUUUUAUUGAACAUGCUCACCGUGUUAUGUGAUUGGAAUCUAUCCCUUUUUUGGGUCUCAGAUGCGGCUCUUUGGCACCCAGACUGACUAUGCUGAUCGUCUUGCUGCUGCUGUAUGUAUGCCCUGUCUCUUAAUUCACUCCAUAUUCUUCCAUACCUAAACAUAUCUGUUUCUUUAGGGAUUUUCCAUUUCAUUUUAACUAUUUGGCUAUUAAAUCAUGCCCGUACGUGUAAGCGCAUGCAUCCCAUAUUUCCGUUUUACUAUGGCAAAUGGGGUCUAUACUACUUUUUACUUGGAGGUGAACUCAUGGAUGCUUCUAGGUAUUAAAACUCUGCUAAUUUCAUGUGGAUACAGCGUAAUGCUGUCAAUAAAGGCUUCAAGGUCUAAAGGAUUGAAACUUGAAUCUCCCUUCAGGGAAGAAGAAACUAACUGAAAUGUGUGAGAAGAAUCCUUUAGGAAGGGAGGUGCCAAAUUGCAAAAUUCCACUUAUUCACAUGGUGUCUUUUGCUGAUUUUAUCACUAAGUUUAAGGUUGGAAACUAAUUACUUUGGGGUCUUCUGUUUGACUUCGACAAUAUUUCAAUGACUCAAAUUGCUAAACCUCUAAUUUUGCACGUGGACUGUUUGUUGAGUAAAUUCGCAUUUUUCCCACAUUACUGUCAGUUAAUGCGUAAUAGUUACCCUUGCUUAAAACUGGGGAGAACAUAUGUACCUGAGACAUGGUAGCUUGUUGAUUACAUUAGGUAGAAGCAGAAAACCAUUGCACUAGCCAGACACGAUUACUGAUUGAUCAGAUUAGCAUGCAACAAGGAAGGAUUGUGGCCCUUGAAGGUAUGCUAUAUAGACACAUUCACACACACUGACAUACAGGUAUACAUGUUCUUCUAUCCUCAUAUUUUGUUAUUUUGUUUCUAACCAUUCUAUGUUGUUGGAAGUUGUAUGCUCCUAUCGACCAACAUUUGCAAAAGGAACACUAUUGUAGUAUGAGCAGCACUGGGAAUUAGACAAAUAAAUAUUCUGCAUCAUGCAUGGAAAGUUCAAUUUUUUGGUGCUAUAAUUUGUGAUGAAGGAAAGAACAGGAAGCCGGGUUUCACGUUAUGUGUUUCCUCUUCAUCCUUUUGCAGAAACCAUAUCCUAAUAGCACUUAAUUGCUUGUAUAUGGUUUGAAGUCUGACUUACUUCAACUGUUAAAGGGAUACUGCAUUAUUAUGAUAUUUGCUUCCUUCAAUUAUCAGAGAGAUGUGGGAUUUUUAUUUGGCCUGCCUGAACUGAGUUUUUGCUUAUCAUUUCAGAAGAAAAGAUGCGUCAGGACCAGGAAUGCAGACAAUUGAGGGCACUUGUUCAAGAUCUUGAGAGUAUGUUCACACUACUUAUUGAUGUUUCUUUGUGUCUUGGCGACAGUGCCAUUAUGCAGUAAAUUUUCUUUUGGCUAAUGAUAGAUCAGCAAUAAAGAGCUAUAUGAUGUUCUCGGGAGAACUCACAACACCCAUUAGAGCUAUGUGAUCCUGACAUUUUUCUUUCAUCCCCGUGUUUUUUUUCUUUCAUGAAUCUGUAGGGGAGUGCCUUGGACUAAUAUGAAAUAUUUUUAGGGCAGUUGAAAUCCUGUAUAUGUCUGAUCCACAAGUACAUAACUAAAUGGGAUGACAAUGUAAAUUGUUCUACUUAUCCAACCCCCCCCCCCCCCCCCACCCACCCAAAAAAAAAAGGUUUUCACACUUCUGCUAUAGCUUUUAAAUGAACCCUUGUCUCUUAGAAUAUCAUGUCAAAAACAGUACAUACAUGGAGCUACUUCUGUUCUUUUGUUUCUGAUUUCCUAAAUUAGGUCCAUAUUUGGUCAAGACAUUACAUCAUCUCAUACAUCAUUUCAAAGCAAUAAGCACCCGACCUCACGCCUAUUUAUGUGAAUAAGUUUAUUGGCUUGUGCAUGAUGGGUGACACUGAUGUUCUCUUGUUGUAGGGAAGGACCUGAAGAAGUUAAUUAGCAAUGUGCAGGUUCACCGUGAAAUAAGAAAAUUUUGUUAUAGCCUACUUGAUUAGAGAUCAUAGCCUACUGUAUUCCAACUAUUUUUCUUUGUAUAAAUCAGGUGCCAGUAGCAGCCGUUGUAGUAAUGGCUUGCAAUCGUGCUGAUUACCUUGAAAGGACCAUCAAAUCUAUCCUGAAGUAUGUUUGUGUUUUUAGCUACUGUUUGGAUUGAUGGAAUUGAAAAGGAAAGGCAAGGAAAAGGAGGGAUUAUGUAUUUUAUUUUGGAUUGAUUUUUUGAGGAGGGAAAGGGAUGGAGAAGAUAAGUUUUAAAUGUUAAGUUCAUUUUUGUCCUAAAGUAUGUGUACUGCAAGGGAAAGGAACAUUUUGAUUAAUAGUUUUAAAAUAUAUACUUUCUAGACAGAAACUUUGCUAUUUGAUUCCUUGCCUUUCUAUCUCACAGUUUUUUAAACAUGUCCUCUAUUUGCCUUUCACAUCUAUCGAAUCAAAAAAUAAAGUAAUACCACCACCCUUUACUUUUUUUUCCACCAUUAUCUAUUCCUCUCAUUUCCUUUCAAUCCUAAGGGUGCCCAAGCAUUAUUCUUCUGCUAAGUAAAAGAGUCGUACGGGAUUUUACCUGACCAUUAUUGGUAUGUUCUUCAUGUCAACCAGAUAUCAAAAGUCUGUCGCAUCAAAAUUUCCUCUCUUCAUAUCACAGGUACAUUGAUGAGGUGGAGAUUGUCUCUUCUAUUUGAUAUUUUGUGUUUGAUGAUACUUGUGGAGAUAGGCUGCAAUUUUCAUUUUUUUUUCUUUUCUAUGAGCAGGAUGGUUCAGAUCCAAAUGUUAAAAAUAGGGCUUUGAGUUAUGAUCAGCUGACAUACAUGCAGGUAUUUCUUGUUAUUUGUUGUUUGUGGCGGCUUUGGCUAUAAGUUGAUAUAUAUAGCUCUCAAGUGAAUUGAUACUAGGGGCCUGUGAUUUUGUAGGCAUUCCCCUUAAAGUUUAGCACCUUUUUCUGAUAUUAAUGCAUCUGAAUAGUGAUCCAAUUAGAAACUGAGACACAGUUUAUUUGUCAAGAUUAUGAAGGAAAGAUUGUCCUUUUAAUUUGCAUCAUUGGCCUGAUCCUAUUAUCUUAAUAAACUCUGAGAAUACUCUUUCAAUGAGUCUGCUUUCUAACUGUUUUGAUGAUUCCUGUUUUGUAGCACUUGGAUUAUGAACCUGUCCACCCAGAUAGGCCUGGGGAGUUAAUUGCCUACUACAAGAUUGCACGUAUGGCUGCUUUUAUGUCUUCUUUAAAUGACAUAUAAGUGUAUCUCUUACUUUUUGAUGAUGUUAUAGGUCAUUACAAGUGGGCAUUGGAUCAAUUGUUUUACAAGCACAAUUUCAGCCGAGUCAUCAUACUUGAGGGUGCUGACAUCUCCUUUUGAAUACUUCUACUCUCUUGUCUUGCUUUCACUAAGAGUCAAUUCUUGCGAACUGCAGAUGAUAUGGAGAUUGCCCCAGAUUUUUUUGCCUAUUUUGAGGCUGGAGCAAUGCUUCUUGACAGUGACAAGUUAGUUUCUUUUGAAGAUCAAAUUCUUUUCGAGUGUAAUAAUUUCUGUAAUUUACACGCACUUUAAACUCUUGACACUAGGUCAAUUAUGGCUAUAUCUUCGUGGAAUGACAAUGGGCAAAAGCACUUUGUGCAAGAUCCUUGUAAGAUUCUUAUCUUUUUUUUUUUUUUGUUGACUGUUCAACAGACAUAGCUUGAAUAAGAAGUUUAGCUGGAUUAAACUGCAUAAUGCUGUUAUUGAAACCAUAAUUUCAAGGGCUGUUUGAGUGCUUUUAUCGUUGAGUGGAGCUCCUGUUCUCUGAUUAACUUGAUUAAUGCAUUUCAGACAUGAAUUAUCAUCAACUUCUAUUGUAAACAGAGCUUUCCGUUUCUGCUUGUAACCCAUUAUGUUAUUUGCAGACGCGCUCUACCGCUCAGACUUUUUCCCGGGUCUUGGAUGGAUGCUUUCUAUAUCUACAUGGGAUGAAUUAUCUCCAAAGUGGCCAAAGGCAUAUCCUUCUACAUAUUUAUGUUUGAACAUGACACUUACAGAAAGGGACUUGCAUUAUUUCAUUUUUAACUUCUCCUCCUUAGUUAUUAUAUCACAAUAAAAAAUUAGGGUGCAAUCUUUUGAGCAUUUUCUUGACCAAACAUUCACUUACUGGGAUGAUUGGUUGAGACAAAAGGAGAAUCACAAAGGUCGACAAUUUGUUCGACCAGAAGUGUGUAGAACAUACAACUUGGUGAGCAUGUAAGUAUAUCUGAGAACUUUACAGAUUUCUUCUGUUUAACACAGUUCAGGUUGUCUCUGGUGAUAAAGAGAAUGCAUUGGAUGGUGAUGUCCUGUCAGCCAUGGCUGAGUUUUUCUCUGGAUAUAUUGUCAUCUAUGAUCAAGUCUAUCUUCUGUUUAAGGACAGAUGUGGUCAUAACGAAGAUACUUGGUUUUGAUUCUGAAUGCUGUAAAUUGUCAUCUUAUUUGCUUCUGAAGAAGUUGCUGGAGCUACCUACCUCUAUAGUGUCAGCUAAUUUGAUUCUUUUGUUGCCUUACUGGUAGAGUUGACACUACUAGAUGUUUAGUAUCAUGGCCUUCCUCUAUCUCUCUCAUUUGAUGUUGCAACUUUCCUCUUUACGUUCAUUUUUAUAAAAUUUCCCACUCUUCCAUUCUUUUGGCAUAUGAUCUUUUUUCUGAAGUCUUGUUGAUUUACUUACAGGGGUCUAGUUUGGGGCAAUUCUUCAAGCAAUAUCUUAAACCUAUUAAGCUGAAUGAUGUACAGGUAUGUAUCUGUUGUCAUCGCUUUGUUCUUCGUUUUCACUUUCUUUAGCGGCUGCUACCAGACUCAGUUUCUCUGAUAGUAUAUUUAUUAUUCUAUUGUUGGCCAUAGGUUGAUUGGAAGUCUAUGGACUUGAGCUAUCUAAUGGAGGUAUUAAUACAGCUUAAACUGAAAUCUGUUUCAUAAGGCAAAAAUACAGGACAAAAUUACAUAGAGAAAUUUAGUGUCUUCCGUACUCAGUUAUUGAUUGUAAAUCAAAAUUUUCAGGACAAGUAUGUCAAGCAUUUUGCUGAACUGGUUAAAAAUGCUAAACCUGUGUAUGGAGCUGAUGCUGUUCUAAAAGCAUAUAACAUAGAUGGUGAUGUGCGCAUUCAGUACAGAGACCAAAUGGAUUUUGAAUUCAUUGCCCGCCAAUUUGGUAUUUUUGAAGAAUGGAAGGUAAUAAUAUGGAUUUGGUUUUCUUUUCUAUUUCCAUGGUGUUACCUAACUUUGAAGUUUGGAUUUAAGUUUCCUUUUUAAUUCCAUGGUGUCCAUAUAUCUAUUUGAUCGAACUUUGAAGUAGAGCUAUAUCAGAACUUGAAUGUCUGGAGGUAUGUGGUCAAAUUAGUUUAAGACUCAGAAAAUACACCUGUACACAUUUCUAAGAUUGAAAACACAUGCAGUUUUUUUCUUGAGUUCUCAUUCAUAAACUUGUAUUAGUUUAGUCUCUCCUAUUUCGCUGUGUUAAUGGUACACAAUUUUGAUUCCUGUGAGUUUACGACAUCAAUUCUUCUGCUUUUCCCAACAGAAGUGAAGUAUCAUUGAAAAACAGAAAUGAAUCAGCCUAUCUGUUAUGUUGAACAUAUGUUCUUUAGUUGUCUACAUAUUCUUCUGUAUUCAACCACCUACAGUUUUGCCCCCAUUAUUCUGUUUCCUUUCCUUUUGUAGGAUGGGAUACCACGGGCUUCGUAUAAAGGAGUAGUAGUUUUCCGGUAUCAAACCCCAAGACGUGUAUUCCUUGUCGGUCCUGAUUCCCUCCAGCUGCUUGGGAUUGGACGCACCUAGAGGUAACAAGCAUCUGCUCUUAUCCCAAUUUCUUUUCAACAAAAGCAGCUUAAAGGGCUAAUACCUUAAAGGUUACUGAAGGGAUCUCUAUUUUUGUAUGUUACUUCACACGUUCAAACACUGUUUUUAAGUGUCUUCCUGUAUGUUGCAUCCAUCACCAGAUAACUGAUGGAAGCCACAAAGAAACAUAGAAGCUGAGUAUGGACCUUCCGCUAUUAGUUUAUGCCUGAUGGCCCACAAUUGUUGAACAAAGAAAGAAUAAAGAUGGUUGAUCUUCUUUUUUACUUUAAGAUCACGUCUUGAAGUUAAUUGACUGACAGAUACCUCUAUUUGUCUCUGAGCAGUUUUGUAGAAGAGGACACGAUUUUCGGAUAAAGUGGUUUAGUGAUGUGAAAAAGAUUCCUAUAAAAGCAUGCAGAGGCAUUAUGGGCAGUUUAUCGUCCAAUUCACUGUAAGGAGUAUGUGACUGGAGCUUACAAAGUUAAGUUUUUUUUUUUUCCCUAAAAUUAUACACAGGAGAGUCAAAAGUACCAGUUUGCUACCAACAGAUGCAUUUUCGAGUGGAGAGGAAGAUGAAUUGCGACCAUCCCCUAUAUGAGCCCCUUCCUCCCUCCUUAGUAGUGUAGACGGGUGGUCGUUACUCUUUUGUAGAUUAUAGUACUGAGUAAUUAAAUGGACACAUACUGUUAAUAGUUAAAGACAGUUCAGUACCCAUAACGAAUCCUGAAACAUUUUUUUGCCUAAGCUGCAUAAAAUUUCACUUGGAUUGUGAUUCUAUAUUUCAUCAAUUAGUAGUUCUUUUUUUUUUCCCUCCUUUUCUUUUGGUAAAAAUUACGUUGUGUUCUAACUUUUAAGCAGUGCAAAAUGUGGUCCUCUCAGCUGCAGAUGGUAGCUGCUUGCAAAGAGGGCUCUAUUUGGAUACUGUGCACCUCAAUUGUAACAGAGAGAUUAGUUUAAUAAGAUGUCUGGUCCCAAUUGUUGCGAGAGGAGAGGAUACGCCAGAGUUCCUGCAAAGACAUUUUUAAAUUCCCAAAUGGCAAUUUUAGGCUCCAACAUUUUCUAUUUUUUUACCCUUUCUUGGACUAGAAAAGUUGUAGCGUUUAUCUGAAUCUUUAGAAAUUAAGAGCCUCAAACAGGACAGAGUUGCAACUGGGAUGGUAGACACAGGACUUUUGCACUAUAACAACGCAAAUAAAGACACAAUAAACCCUGGAAAGCCCUAUGGAAAAAAGGAAAAAAAAGGAUUCUGAACCAAGAGUAGACAUAGUCAAAAAAUGGUCUUUUGACUUGUUGCAGUGACUGUAGUCAUGGCCAAGAGUAGACGUUGAUCAAGAAGAAGAAAGGUGGCCUUGUUCCACCAGGGAUGCGAUGCAGUCAUCGAACAUUUCCCGGAUGGACCUGAAGUUCUUGAAUCCUAAGCCCUCCAGCUUCGAUGUAUUCAGGUCAUAAGAUGGUCUGUUAUCAAGCUUGUGAAACCUGAAACGGGCGGAGGUAUGGCAUGGGAAUCAUUUCGAUACAAAGGUAAGCUAGUAGUAACUAAGUAGAAUACUAAAUAGCAAGCAAACCUUUUGGGUAUAGGCAGGGCAGGGUAGGAAGCGGAUAGAAUGGAGGCGAGCUCAUCAUUGUCAAGGACAGUGGAAGAACAGAGGUAUCGUCCUUGAGCAUUCCUGCGUUCAUACACCAGGAUGUGACACAGCGCAACAUCGUCAAUAUGCACAUAUCCCAUUCUUCCAUGCCAUUCGAAUUUCUGCGUCUCCCCUGUAUUAUUAUAGUGUAUGCUACCCAUUAUGCUUUAGGGAUAUGCUACGAUUAACAGCAAAUAGCACACGAGAAUGAGAGAGAGAGCAGCUAGUACUCUACCUUUGGCAAGCCAAGGACGUCGGCCGCUGUGGAACAUAACUCCGGAGGCAAGCUACGUCCAACCACGAAUGAGGGGAGAACGGUGACCAGGUCAAUCUUGUUCUCCUCGCAGAAUUUCCAGGCAGCCUUCUCCGCCAGAGUUUUUGAAAACAUACCAGAUCUUCUUGCAUUUGCCAGAGCAUGCAAAAUUAAGCAUUAUAUCACGGCAUGUUUUUUUUUAUCCAAAAAUCUGUGUUUCUUAGUGCUGUUGCAAAUUCACAAACUGAUUUAUGCAGAGUUGCUGAUGAGGGUACGUACCUUAAGUCUCUCGCAGAGUAUCUCAGAGCUCCAAGAUGAUUCGUCCAGUGGUACGUUGGGAUCAAAAUCCUCUCUUGCCCUCACAGUUGAGGAAGACGAGGUCAGAACAACACGCUUCAGAAAUGGAUUUUUCUUGCACGAACGCAGCACAUUUAGCGUACCCUCAAUAGCAGGUUUCAAAAUUUCAGCCUAUGCCAUAAUAGGAUUAGAUUAGGAGUCUUGAGAGGAGGUCAAUAAGAAAGCAACGCCCACUUGAAAAGAACUUGGAACGCAAUAACGAAAAAAAAAAAAAAAAAAAAAAACCCUUCUUCCCCAUUUCUUGUUUCUCUCAAGUAACAGUUACACUGAAAUUGCUUUGCUAGUUCAUUGCAGUCCACAAUGUUAGUUUAGUGCCGCCAGCACUGCUGAGGAUUUUGUUAUGAGAAUUAUUGAGUUAAUAAAUGCUGUCAAAGUGGCAUCCACAAUCAAACUUUACAUGCCUUGGGAUCGGAUGCUGGUCGCCCUAGAACAGGGGAAGCAGUGUGAAAGACACCUUCAGAGCCCAUUAUUGCAUCAUCGAAGCUGCCUUCCUCCAUUAAGUCGCCCUUCACCAGCACCAGUCUCUCUUUUGCUCCCUCCAGCCUCCAGAGAUGCGCUACCUUCUUGGCAUUUUCUGUUCAUGUCACAAACUCACAACAGAUACCAAGGCAUACAUGACUCGCCGCCAUUCAAUUACAUCUUGGCAUGCUCAGUUCCCUGGAAUGUAUUCAUACCAUUCCAGCCAGGCACCAACACCAAAACAAUGAAAAGAAAAAAAAAAGGAAUUAACAAAAAAUAAAAAGAAAGAAAGAGCUACCUGGAUCUCUGACCGUCCCGGUUACUUGAUAGCCAGACAGCAGCAGUCGCUUGAUCAGCCAAGAAGCCAGAAAGCCAGAUGCACCGGUAACGCAUACUUUGCCCCUGAGUUCCACGUUUUCCUCCAUCGCUCGUUCUCUCUUGUUUUUUUGGAGUUUCUUUCCUCUUUCAUUUUUUGGCUCACCCCUUUUAUAAUAGUUCAAAGCUAUUACAUUUAAGGUAACACCACCUUCAGCGUCUUUAUUAAUUCAUAUACUUAAAUAGUGUAUAUAUUCAUCCAACAUUUGUGAAGCAUCGGAGGUUUUACAGAUGAGGCAAGUCAUCGCAGGUUUGUGAAGCAUCCACUUGACAACUAACUGCAUAAAACAGAAAUAAAUAAAAUCUAUCCAAGGCCUUCAGUCGAGAGUCGGCAACGAAAGUAUGACAGCUUUAAAUAUCUAUUGAACCUUUUAAGCCAACCAUGCGUCUCUUGCCCUCGUACCUAUUCACCCCAAGACAUAACGCAGCCACCAUGGCAACUCGUAACAAAUGCUAUUUUAAUUAGCAUUACAAGGGAAAAAAGUUCGAACUUUGUUCUCCAAUACAAUUUAAACACAAUGCAACUGCAAUGUAAACGUUGAACUGUGUUCUCCAAUACAAUUUGAAGGACUGCCCCAAUUGUAAAAAUGCAGACCAUCAAAUAACAAUAUGCAUGGAUACAACAUACUGGCGAACCCAGCACAAUUCAACUAACAGUGUAGUAAAAAUUGCAAAUCCAAUCCUAUCAGCCUCCACUGUACCCCACACACACACACACACACUUGUAUACAACCAGCAAUUGAUUGUCCUAAUAUACUUUAGCUUGUCAAACCAUGGUACCAACUGCCAAAUUACUUACCUACAACCUAUAGUCACCAAGCAUGAUUGGCAAGUCGUCAUUUUUUGAUGUGAAACAGAUUAGUAAGUUGAAUAACUGCUCAAUGAUGCAACCCUAUACCCCCCGCAGCAACAAGUCGCACUAAAAAAUUAAGGGAGGCAACGGCAAUGAGCAAAACUUUUCUUUUGGCGAAAGAGUACUUUCUUUACACAGGUACUAGACACUGACGUUUCACAGAAAUGUGGUCAUGUUCUUUGGUGUAUCCACAGUUCCAUUCUCAUCAUUGACAGCAACAGGCUCCCCAUCAUUGAGAUCAAAAGUCCAACCAGGAAAAUCGGAUUCUGAGAACAAAGAGGUUGGAGUAGAUUAUAGAAUGCCAGAGGCACCUGUUUGACCCUGCGUCUAAUCUGCAAGCAAGGAUAGUGAUUCGGGACACUUUAUUAUAUAGACACCAAAGCUUGCUCUAACAGCAUGAUCUGAUUGCUAUCGCAUAGAAGACAAUCACCGCCAGAUUUAGCAAUUCUGAGUAGUGCUUGUGCAAGGACUUGAUAAGCACAUAGAAACAGAUGCUACAAAUGUUUGUUAAAAUAUUAAGAAAGCAACAAAAACGAGGAGAACAGAAGAUGCCUUAUUUCUGAGGCCACCUAAAGGAUCCAUGGCAUGAUUUUCAAGUAUAAAGAUUGACCAUAUUACCUCCUCGCCAAAAAUAGUUGCAUAUGAUCCAGAACUGAAAUCUUGCACAGCAACUUCAGAUGUUUUGGCUCUAAUUGUUAAGUCACUCUCGAGGGAAACACAAAUCUAGUACACAAGAACAGUGACCAGUUAAGAGAAUAUUAAAUGGCAUUGAGCUCCCAAACUUGUAUCAGCACUCCCCAUUAGUUUACUUUUACACCGACAGAAAUACCCUCACCUAUUAUGAUAAAGGUAACUCUUCUUUUUCACUAACUUAAAGUUACAGCUCUUUAUGAAAAUCUAUAAAAUGUGUAUUAGGUAGAGAAAGGAAGUGAGUUAAUCUUUUAAUUAUCAUAUUUUUAAAAUUUUUCUUGAUUCCUAUCAAUUAUUAAUUUCAAAUACUUCUCUUAGUGACAGAAGUAUUUUAAUCAGCAUCUAAACUUAAAAACAAAUCAUUUUUGUAGCAACUCACCUGAAACAUUACUUCCAUUGUAGUGGUUCUCUUUGUUACAUGUCCUCGUGGUUCAACUAACAUUUUGUGUGAGACAUUGUACUGAAAUUUAAUUUUGGACAUCAUUCAAAGUGCUAUAUGCAAGUCUUAAACUCGUUAAAUCUAAUUUACACAGUCAAAACUAAAUUUUAGCAUUCUCUAGCAAAAUGUUUUCUUGAAUUUUGUAAACCAGUCAUUUAAAUUGCAAAUAAGUGUUGCUGCCAUAGAUGCAGGUUGUAUUUUUCUAGUAAACAUGGGCAAAAUGGUGAGACAAAUGAGGUGUUCUUGUUAAAUUUUGCCAUUAGUGCAAGAAAAAGAUAGUGGGACUGCCAUUAACGAUUCCCUUAUUAAAAAUCAAAGACGAGGUCAUUGCAUUCUUGAUUGGAAACAUGUACCUUGACACUGGUGGGCAAUAGUGAUGCCGGAGUGUAUCAAUUUCCCAUAAAGAGCUUCCUGGCCAAUGAUUGUUGUUAGCAUAAUUGAAGGGGGAAAAAAGGGUAUUAUCCACUAUUUUGUUUGUAAAUUCAGAUGACUUUCUAUAGAAUGCACACAAUGGAUCAAGGGUAGAAAGUCAAGGAAUGCUAAGCUUAGAUAGGAAAAUAGUGGUCUACAUAUAAUCUGCAACAAAAACUCUUAAGCAACCAGUCCCCCAACCCACCCCCCAAAAAAAAAAAAAGAAAAACCAAAAUUAGCUUGCUUUUCUAUAGAAUAGACCUAAUAAAUUCAAAUCUUACUCAUAGCAUUAGUUUUCAUGGAUCACUUUGCUCAUAAUCAAAUUGAUCAAUGCCUUGCUUGCUCGCAGAAUCCGUGUCAUCUGUUCUGUCAACACCACUCUUGUCUGUUGCGGAAGUCUCUUUACCAGCCUCAUUGACAUACCCCUGCAGCAUAUAGGUGUCAGUUCAUAAGGAAGUAUUUAUGCAGAUACCAUUGAAUGAAAGAAUUGCCACAUUAGAAACCUUUCCGGCCACCAAGUUUUGCAUGAUUCAUAAGAAUAAUCAGUGUGGCAAUUGAAUGCAAGUGACUUGUGAUGCGAAAUUGUAUACUUACCUGGUGCACCAAGAAGUUGAUUGAAGGAUGUCUCCUAAGAAGAUUGUGGACUAAAGCAAUAAUGAUUAAUGCUCCUGAAGGUGGGACAGAAAGUGCAAGUCUACUCAGUUUCUUACAGAAAGCAGCAGCCAAAUAUGCUGGAAGAAGCGGUGAUUUCAAGCAAGAAUCAAUAAGCUGCAAACAGAAUUCAAAAUCAGUAAGAGGGUUACAUAAUAAAAGAAACAAAUCUAAACAGUGAUCCAAGCAAAACACUAUUCUAGUCAUUAAAAUCUAGCGUCACGAUGACAUGUCUCUAUUACUCUUUCCCAUUGAGAUCAACCAUGACACACCUCCAAUGAGUGACUCAUACCACAUAGAGUUGAAUGGAGGCACAUGACUAACAUUACUCUCUCAACAUUUGUCAUCUUCCUUUGCCACAAAACUCGUUCUUCUCAAACCCACAUCUAACCUUCUCCUCUCCCUCUUAUAACCAAGCACCUUUCCUUUCCCUGCAUCCUUCUGUCACUAACUCUAGUUUCAUUAAUGUACCAUCAUUCCAAGAUUCCUCCCUUAACAUACAUAUCCCACUAUAACACUGCUCAUGACUCCAUCUCUCCAGUUCGCCUCUUUUUAUAUUGAUUGUAAUAUAUAAAUCACCAUACUAACAAAAGAGAAGAAUACAGAGCAACAAAUAGGACUGUGAUCAUCUAAAUUAGUGAAAUAGUUAAGUCUGAGGAACUGCAUGCUGCAUGUUUACUAAUCAUAAUUAAAUUCUGAACAAGUUUAUAACAUGGCUACGUUAAAAUGUAGAAAAACUCCCAAAAUCCAAGAAGAGAAAGUUGUUGGAUUCCCUUCUCAUCAGUUAUUUGAUGAUGCUAAAACUUCCAAAUAAAUCUAAAAAUAAAACACAGACUGCCUAGCUCCUUCCCUCUGAGUAAUUCUCAAAAGCAGAUUCUGCAGGUCACCUCUGCAAAGCAUUAGUAACAUCUAAGACACAGACAGGUGGUUGCAAAAAUUUACACAUUAAAACAGGGAAAGCUGAACAAAAUCAUCACAAUAGACACUAAGCAUGGUGAAGUCAAGAGGACCAAGGAAAAUAAGUGUUUGUAACAAAUUUGCACAACCAUCUCCAGGAACAACACCUAUGUCCACCAAGCAAGGCCGAAAAAGUGAGAAAAUUAUCAGUUGGAUGCACAAUAUGCAAAAUGUAGCACUCAGCCCUUACAUAAUUAUAGUACCAGCGCACAUCCAUUUCACCAUCAUAUGAAACAUACUUGUAAAAAACACAAGCAGUUAUUGACUAAUCUUUCUAAGCCUAAUUCAUUUAACCUCACUUGUCAAAGAAAACUGAAACCUGAAACAUACAAGAGUACCUGAAAAAAUUUAACCUAAUUCAUUUAAUCUUUCAGCCCUUACAUAAUUAUAUUACCAGCGCACAUCCAUUUCACCAUCAUAUGAAACAUACUCGUAAAAACACAAGCAGUUAUUUACUAAUCCUUCUAAGCCUAAUUCAUAUAAACUCACUUGUCAAACAAAACUGAAACCUGAAACAUACAAGAGUACCUCAAAAAAUUUUGCUCGAUAUUUAGCCAUAAAGAUAGAAGGUUCCAACAGUGCAUAAAGCUUCCCAUAGAAAUUUGGAUACUCAAGGCCAUGUUGUGUCAUAAGGAUAUAGAGACUGCUGAGAGCCAUUACACUCACAACACCUCCUAUAUCAUAUGAUCUUGUUAAGAAAUCACUGCAAUUUAUGAGGAAAACUUAUCAUGGACAUAUUGACGGUAAAAGAGUAACAGAACAUAAAUGUAAAUAAAAAGCUCUUAACAAAUUACCACAGCAUGAUUGGGUUAGACAGGUGAGGAAUAACAGCUUGAUGAAGAGUAGCAAGAACCUAAGCCACAAAGCAAGAGCAAGAGAGCAUGAAUUUUAAUGCAAAUCAAAUCAUUCAAACAAACAAUAUAAUGAUACAAGAAAAGCAACCAAAAAGAUAUCAAACCAAUGACAUGUGUGAGAGCCUUCAAAGCCAGUUUCAGAUAACAGUAGCAGCCCCUUAUAAUCAGGAAAGGUGAAUAGUAUGAACACCGGGGAUAACUAGAAUUAUCAUUCAACAUGGCAACAAUAUAACAAAUGAGGAACUUCCAUCAAUUAUUACUCUUUUUGUCCAUAGCCCCUUAUAAUCAGGAAAGGUGAAUAGUAUGAACACCGGGGAUAACUAGAAUUAUCAUUCAAGAUGGCAACAAUAUAACAAAUGAGGAACUUCCAUCAAUUAUUACUCUUUUGUCCAUACAGCAUUUGCUUCAUGAGAUCAAUAUGUAUCAGAUUAUAUACAUCUGGUGACAGUAAACUCCAUACUUCUACACAACAGAGAAACUGAAACAGAACAUAUAGGAGCUCAACAUCCAGAAGAAACACUCUUAAGAUGCAAAAUACACAUCAAAUUGCUAAUGAUCUGCUUACUUCCUUGUAUACAUCAAGUGGAAGCGGCAAUCUAAGGAAUGAUAUCCAUGCUUUACUAAACUUUAAUUUCAUCUUUUUAGUAACACUGGCUGCAGAAAAGUCCUGAUAGAGCCAAAAGAGUGGAAACUCAGGUCAAAGACAAUAUAAAGUGACACAGGUUUGAUGUGAAAGGAGAUCAUCUAAGUAUUAAAAAUGGAAGCUACAUGAGUGAGAAAAAUUCUAAAGGUUCAUCGCAGUACAAACCUUGCGAUCAUGUAAUCUUAAUUUCUGCUGUUUAUCCUCUGCAUCUGAAAGGUGAUCAUGGUUUUUCUUGUCGAAUUUUCUAGUAAAAAUAUCUAUCAAUUUGGAUACAGGUCAAUACCAAUAUAACAUCAAUUGAAUUACUUCAUUCAAAGAAUACAGAUUUAAUGCAAAAAACUGUAAAGCUUAGGUGAGGACAACAUAUCCAGUUUUUCAGAAAAUCGAUACACCUUGAUUUGAUCAAAUCAAAUGCAACUCAAAUUUAAAAUAAAGUAUUAGGAUCUGCAAGGGAUGUGACUAUGAAGCAUCUUGAAUUCAUUACAAAAUAGAAAAGAUCUUCAAUGUUGUAGAUUAGUGUUAGAAAUACAUCAUACAUGACAAAUAUUUUUAACAUCAGACACAAAAAACUGUUAACCAAAAUAAUGUGAGUAGGGAAAGAAAUUUUUGAACUAAUAGUCAAGGUCAAAAAUUAAAGAAUGAACUUACCAACACAACUCCACAUUUCAUAAUUAGACUCCACAACUGAAACUUCUAAUGGUGGGAUGCGCGAUAGCAAAUGAUAUAUGAUCCGAAUACAGACCUCCAUGCUACAACCAAAUAUACAUGGUCAAAGAUUUAGUAAUAGUGCAAAUCCUAUAAUCAUGUGAUUUCCAAUUAUGUGAGUUCAGAACAUAAGUAAGCCCAAGUCGAAACUAAUUAAAAAAGCACGCUUACAUGGUUCACAGAGAUUACACAUUUGUUAAGUUGUGCCAGUAUUGGCUUUGACGCAAAUGCAAACUUGCAACAUCAACGACAAACAAAUAAAAAGGAACACAGACAAGCUUUUUUUUUGGGGGGGGGGGGACCCAACGUAAAUUGUUGUAAUCCAAAACCCUCUAAAAGUAAACCAGAAACAUAAAAAACCAACACAGAGACCCACAGAUUCAUACAUACAAAACACACAGAAAGGGCAGCAAAGCCUAGACUCUAAAACAUCAAAGAGAUGUCAUUGCAACAACUGUUCAUAGUGAAGCAAGCAAGUUUGGACCCUGCAUUCUUGAUCCUUAUCUCUUGUAUGAAGCAAGGAAUCUGGCUUGCACCUAUUCCAACUAAAAGGCAAGGUCAACAGUACAGAAUGAAGUGACCUUGUAUGAGUAGCAUUAGCAUAUAGAAUGAAAAUAGCUCCCAUUUAGCUUAUACAAUGCCAUAGCUCAAUUUAUUGUGCAGGAUGAUCUUAGCAAUACAGCAAGAAUCAAAUUGAUUUGCCUUGAUUAAGACGGCUAGGAACAUGAAUAAUCUACAGAUACCUUGCCUUGACCGAUUUCCAGCAGCAGACUCUGAAGUUGCACUUUAUCAUCUGAAGGACAAACAGGUCAAGGAAGUUUAUUUAAAGAAAAAAAAGUCUGUACCAGUUUGCAUCCUUUUGGAAGUGAGACAGAGUAAAUGUAGCACUGAAUGCUAUGCUAGUGAAAAAAGGGCCAUUGAAGAGAAUAACUGUCAAAAAUUAAUAAGUACAGCUGAAUCUUCAGGCUCCAGAGUUCGUGCUAUCUUUUCCAAGCUUAUGUACGUGAAUAACUGUCAGAAGAGAAUAACAAGUCAGAAACAUGGCUUGGAUGCAAGACAAUGUUCUGAGUAAGAAUGCGUGAACGUUAUUAAGUAAGCAUUGGUAUGUUGGCAUCAUGCUAGAUGACAGAUAUCCAAAAAAAAUGCAUAGAAAUGCGUAGGAAUCAAUACAUUGUUUUAGUUGCUGAAAGGUUGGGCUAAAAGAGUGAAUAGUGUUUCAUAACAACAGAGUUUGAAUGAAUGCUUUACAGCAAUACAUAGAAGAGUAACAUAGGGGAGAUGUCAAGUCAUCAAGAAGAAUAGACAUCAUCAUACCGGACAUCAAUAUACUUGAAGUACUUGGACGCAGCAACUAACAGUAUAUCACCAACUCCCAAAGUAGAGUGAACCUACAAGUGCCACAAAAAUUUUUUAAAAACAAAGGGAAAUAGAUUAAUGGUUACUGAUUAAUAAGCAAAAACACAAAAGUAACGUCACAAGAAAUGAUCAGCAUUCCAAGAUGAAAGGCCAAUAGAGAUCAAGAAAUAUAUGGGAAAAGAAAGUAGCAGGGGGGAGGGAGCGAAACUCAAAUGCGAAUGAAGUGUAGAAGUAGAGAUGGAUAGCAAUAUAUGAUUAGGGAUUACUUACAAUGGCAUGAAGGAACCGGUGGAAGAUAGAAGAGUGGAAGUUGCGGCAUUGGUACCUUGACAAACUCCAUGAUUGUCUCCAACACAACUUCCUAAUAUCAGAACCAAAACAAAAUCAGAAUUUUUUUUUUAAAAAAAAAGGAGGAAAGCAAAAUUAAUAAAUAACAAAUUAGAGUGGCAGCAGUAGUAGUGAAAAUGUGUGUAGUAAAUUAUUACCCGGAGGGUUGGGUCGGAAAGGGCAGAGGUAGAGAUGGAGAUAAAGAUUGAAGGAAGUCGUCGAACUUGAGAGCGGAGCAAGUGGAGUAAAUGAGAUGGGCGGCGGUGGUGGUGGAGGCGUCGGAGGAAGAGAUGGAGGAGCGGGAGCGGGAGGCAGAGAGAUCCAGUAGAAGGGGAGUGAAGAAGGAUUGGAGAGAAAGGAGGACUCGAGGCGUAGGCAGGGUGGAAGUCCUCUCGGGGGUGUUUGAUAAAAUUGAGGAGGCGAGGGAGGUUGUUGAUGUGGGACCUGGACGACAGCAGCUGCUCCCUAGGGUUUUGAGCUCCCAGGCUCAGCUGCUGCUCUUUCUUCCUCUUCCUCUUCUUCAUCAUCAUCACCUGCUGCUGCGAAGUUUCAUCAUCGUCAUGGCAUUGGAAGAAGCCAUCCACAAAAAAUGAUUGGUUCGGUGUUGGAUAAUAUAUAUAUAUAUAUAUUCUCUCUGUGUGUUUGUGUGUAAAUUGUUCCAAUGGCUAUCUAAAGAGUUUUAUAUGUCCGCCUCCAAAGCUAAACCCCCUUCAAACCCUCCCUCUUCGUCUACCAUGUUACAGGGCCAGAAGCCUGCAGGGAACGAGUAUUUAUGAGUAUAUAUAUAUUUGGAUUAAUUUCACUUUGCACCCCAAACUUAUAUCAUUUUCUCACUUGCACCUAACUUCAGUUUUAAACGCUCUACGCUCUAAAUUCUUAAUUUUAGACAUUUUACGCUCUAAAUUUUCAAGUUUGCCCUAUUUACAUCAAUCAAUAACAAAUAUUAGUAAGAAAGACUGUAAAAUUAGGUGUCUUAAAAUUAGUGGCAAAUAAGAUUCCUGGGUGACUUAAUGAGAUACAAAUGCGAUCCCUAGGUUUGUUUUAUCCUAGGUUUUUUGCCUGGUGUCCUAAUGAAAUACAAAAAAUAGGUUUUUUCCCUAGGUAUUUUAAUGAGACACUAGGAUCCCUAGGUUUCUUUUUCUUGUAAUUAAUUUAUAUGGUCUCAAUCACUAUUAAUGAUAAUACAUGUCUAUAUAUAUAUAUAUAUUGCGACUUGGAUCUAAUGGUUGGUCUAAGUAACUUUUGAGUCGAAAUUUACUAGUUCAAAAUGGUUAACUCAACUUACUCAGUAGCCAAAGAGACCAAUCUUAUAAACCAUUCUUUUCCUUUUUUCGCUUCUGACGUGGAAUACCUCAGUAUUUUUUAAUUUCACAAUUUGAAUUUUAAAUUUAAAUUCAUGCUGUGUAACAUAAUUUAAACUUGUUAGUGUAAAAAAAAUAUCAGUGAUAAUGUGUAAAAAAAAUGUCCUAAUUAAAAUACAUAUUAAUUUAUUGAUUUUAUGUGUUUUUAUUGUUUAUGACUUUGAUGUUUAAUUGUGCAUUAAGGAAUACCUAUAGAUACUCAUCGAAUAUUGAAACUUAUGAAAGUCCAUAUUUGAAUUUCACUUUCCAAACCGAUGAGGGUUUGAGUUUGGAUCUGGAUACUCAUAAAUCAACAACUAUAGAUUUGAAUUUGGAUACUCAUAACUUCAGUGACUCUAGAUUUGUAUCAUGUGAGCUAACACAAAGCUAAAUCUAAACUUUGCCUUCCAAAAGUCUUAUUUUUUCUUUGUUUUUCUUCAGGAAAUGGAACUUGAAGCUGCAAGUCUAACAUCUCAUUUUCUAUUCAGACGCCUAGAGGGCAAUAUAAUUGUUCUGCAUGCUUUUUCUACAUUUGGUUAUUUUUCUUGUUCACUAGUAAUUGAGAGUAUUGAUUUUUUAUAUAUUAACCACUUUGAAUAUAUAUCGCAUACACACAAUCUGAAUUUUAAUUUUAAAUUCGUGCUAUGUGACAUAAUUUAAACUUAUUAGUGUAAAAAAAUAUAUACAUAUAUAUAUUUAUACAUAGUGACAGGGUAUAAAAAAACUGUCCUAAUUAAAAUAUAUAUUAAUUUAUGAAUUAAUCUUUCCUACACUGAUAGUAUUAAAGUGUCAAUAUUGAAUGAAUGACAACUACACAAAAUUUAAAUUUAAAAUUCAAUUUUACAUAUUUGUCAUAAAUUUAACAGUAAUUUAACGAUAACAGUGAAUACACUGACUGUCGGUGUAUAUUAGUUUAUUCCAACUUUUAUGGUCCUCAACCUCUCAAAUUCCACCCUAAAUUCUUCCUACUGCAUCUAAUUUCACAACUACACAAAACAUAACUAGUCCAGAAAAAAGAAAAAAAACCAAUUAAAUUUUUGCGUUUAAAAUGACGCAGACCAGCGCGGAGAAGCAGAGCCGUCCCAUUCUUCGCUUCCAAAUUGAAAGUACUCUGAAAGUGAAGAACCAACAAUCCUGAAGCUGCAUAAAUCAUUGAUCCCUAAGACUCGAUUGGCUUUUUAACGUUGAUAAUAUGGGGCAUUCAUAAUCUCGACGUAUUCACCAUUUAGCACACCUAGCUUUACAAGUAUGGGAUAACCUAUCAGCUCUUGUAAACUUUACCCCAAAAAAAAAUUUUUUUUUUCUUUAAAGCCCUACUGUACUUUGAUAGUAGAGUCUCAUCUUCUAUUUUACAAAGACAGAACCAACCAAACUGGAAAACUGAAAUUCACUAUUUGAAUCAAAAGACUCGAAACGUAGCAUUUCCCAUCCCUUAAUCAUCAGUUGUUUUUGGCAAUAGCAACGGCCUGCCUUGCACCACAGAAAAGAACUCACUGAUCACCUCCAGAGGCAUGCCUUAGUUUCUGGAACCUUCAAGAACGCAAAGAACCAGGAAAUGAUGCACACCACUGCAUAUGUCCCAAAAACACCCAGUCCCAUUGAAGACAGCAUCACAGGCAGCGUAUACGUUACGAUGAUGUCUCCGAUCAAUAUGUGAGGCAACAUAGAGCAAUGCAGACCCCGCGUACCCGCGUCGAAAUAUCUCUGAACAAAGUAUAUUCGGAACUGGACCGAAUCCCAUGACAAAAAAGCAGAAGUAGAGCACCACACAAACUGUGUCGAAACGGCUGCAUUUCCAACCUUGCCCAUGUUAACUACACUUCGAUCACUAAAUCACCAGUGUUAUAGAAGCACAGGAUGGUCCAGAGCAAUAAACUCCUGAAACAACAUUGGAAAUUUGGAAAAGCUUUGAGAGAUGCUACUCGUAGUCACAAAUGCAAAUUACUACUAUUAUCCAUGUCUUCUCAAAGUUUCAAGCCACUAAUAUGCACAUGGAUCAAUCACGACGACUCGUUGCACCUUUUAUUAUAGGUGAGAAGUGCUAAAAAUAAGUUAAUUAAAUUCACAUAAUGAACCCCAAAAAACACACACACACACAAAAAAAAACAAAUGCGAAGAAAACUGAAAGAACCAAGACGGCAAGAUGGCCUGAUAAAAGUACAUAGUACACAAGAAGAUGAAGAAAAUCAACUUUAUGAACUUCUGAUGACAGAAGCAUAAAGACCACCGUUUGGACAAAUUAAACAAACGAGAAAUGAUACAGGGCAUAAGGUUCACUAUCAAAUUUCAUUUGAAUUCCAAAAGUUUCUAAACUUUGAACUUACAGUGGGCAAAAAACUAAAAUAUCAAAAAGAUGAAGUGCAAGUUAAGCAGGAUGUAUUGCUAUCAUAAAUACUCAUAACGAUCCAUUCGUGCGCACCAAGCCAAAAAAAGGGAUGAAAGACCAAGCAAAGAGAAGAAAUAGAAUGCAUCUUUUUAUGUUCUUAUAGGCAAGAGAUGAGAAUUCCUUUGAUAACUUCGUCAUUCAGUUAUAUGACUGCUCAUACUGUCCUCUAGAAAUGCUUCCUUGCUGACAGUCAAUUUACACAGAGUCAGAUGCAAGUAAGCUUCCUUAUUGGCAAGAACAUAUCAACUUUUGGAGUCAUGGAAAUCCAUUUAUUUGUUCUAAAAUUUAUUGGUCAUAACAAAAAAAAAAAAGAUAAAGAGAGUGCUUUUGAAUUGAAUGUGACACUGACAUGAGAUGAUACUUUAAUUUUAGAACAAAGACCGACAUUAUGUCUUUAAAUCAAUAUGCUCUGAAGAUCAAUCUCACAUCUACAAGUAAAACGACUUAGUAUAUGAUUAAGAAAUGAAAUGCCUGACAAAAGUUUCAAGAACCUACCUUCUGCCAGCUAUAUCCACAAGCCUCAUGGCAAUAGCUAUGGACGGCAACAUCAACAAAGUAGUAAUAGCACUGAUAAGAAAAGAUGCAGACGCUGAACUGAUGCCAUAUUUGACAGAAGAACUCCUACGCCUGCCUCCUCAAGAAUCUGGGGAGUGUAGUACAGCACACCAUUUAUACCUGAGAGCUGCACAUGAUGAAGCAAGUUAAACCUGAAAAUGACACAAAAACCAACACUAAUAAACUGUAACAAAUGACUGUGCUCCAAAAGCCUCCCUGUAUAUUCUAUUGAAGAAGAUCUUACCUGGAAAUGGUUUUAGGGGAUUGAUAAACAGUGCUAUAUUUGAUUUUACUGACAACACAAAUGGAAAAUUUUCCGGAACAAAUCCAAAACAAACAUGUUGUAUGACAAAAGGAAGAAUGACAGACAAUAGUUACUUCAUAAAAUUUCUAAACAACGUAAAGCACAAUGCUGAUAAACUGAAAAAGUCAUAUAUCACUAAGUGUUAAGACCCUAGUCAUCAAAUGUUGCUACGAAUUGAAUAUCUACUUAGAACAGAUAUGAGAAUGAAAAUCCCCCAACUAAACGAUACAUAGAAAAACCAAAAUGUCUGAAUUUUUUGCAGGAAAUAGUUACCUGCUGAAGCAAUUCAAUUCCAAUUCCAACGACCAAUGCAUGCUUAACUCCAGGCUCAAGUAGGUCCUUCCAACUUGGCCCUUUUGCAGCAGCUUCAGAUGGAUGAAUCAUUGCUGGUCCAACAGGAUGCUGAUCCAAUAACUCCUUUGAAUAUAGAGCUGGAUGACUCACCAAAGCAGCAGCUUGUAUGAAUUCGCCACCUGCAGGCACAUCAUCACCAUGAACUGAGACCACAGAACCUCUGCGGGAUGCAGAAACACCACCCUCAUGCAAAUAAAUUCUCUUAAACCCUCCUUCUUUCUUUCCAUCUUGACCUUCCCUCCUAUCCACUUCCAUGCAAGCUGCCACCGCCACCGAUGCCUGUACUACCAGAUGUUUCCCCAUUGGCCCCUCGAAUAGCAGUACCCUGCCUCAUGCUCAAAAUACUUCCAUGUAAAGGAGGUCCAGCCAUGUCUUUUUCUAGGCUGGUUGUCUGACGUGAUAUUAGUGGGCUUUGUAAAUUGUCAUCAGAUUCAACUCCAGCAGCAUCAGAUGCAUAAUCCUCUCCCUCUCUGCCAAGACUCUCUACAUCCCAUUCUUCAUUUCUAGGUUGAUUUCCUGCUACACUAAACAUGCUGCCUAAGUGUGGAAAAAACAUGCUUCCUUUGCUCCCAGUAUCUGGAAGCUUUUCAUGAAUGCUUCCAAAGAGGCUAACUAGAGGAUCCAUAAGGGGAACAUUCUGGUUUAUUAAGCUUCCUUGUCGAGAUAUCGGAGUAAGUACACUUUGCCCAGUAACAGGUUGAGCAACCCAGGACUUUCCUUCUUCAGGACCAUACAACCUUAUCCGCUCUUUGUCUGCACUCGGCUCCUGAUCUUCAGCAAGUUCAUCAGCAGGGGCAAUUAUGUACUCCUCAAUAUGUGUUUCACUGCUGAUGCCAAGGCCUUCAACUAACAAUGCCAUCUCACCUGUUUGAAAAGAAUAUAGAAGUCACAGACAAGUAAGAAUAAAAAUUCAACAAAUUUUCCUAUGUACAACGGUGAGUUAUUUUUGUCAAGUCCGUGCAAAGGCCGAAACGCUCUCAAAACCAAUUCAGUUGAUAAAAGAAAAAAUUUUUGCAGCUAUUAUACAACAAAUAUUUUGCAGCUAUUCAACCAUAAAGCAUAACGUUUUGUUAUGGAGGGGAGAAGCCAUGCCUAUAAAUUUGUAUAGAAAGGAGGAACGAGCAGAGAAAAUUGUUCAAGUCAAAAGUUGAAAAGCAGGGGCACAGCCUCAGUGCUUGGGAGAGGUAAGGGGAUUUAUCUCUCACGUGAUUCUGAUUUUCUAUGCUUCAAUAGUAUGGUACAUCAAUUAAAAAGGAAAAAUGUUGAACAUAAACUCAAUCCUCCUUUCCCAUCAACAAGGACUCCAACUCAAAACCAUGAAUUCAUCGGCUAUGUAGAUUCAAAUUCUUCUCUCCAGCAAACCAUCUUAAUUGCAAGGCAUUAUUAAACAUUUCUGCCUUCUCCAAAUUUUGUCACUUAUCAAGCCAUUUUCCAUGGAGGACAGACACUAUAUUCACUCAAUUCUCAAUUUAUAAUACUGUUAACAAAAGAAAUGCACUCUUCUUCUUCUUCACUGGAAAAUUGAUCAUUCCUUCAGGAUGUUAAGUACAUCACCUGUUUGUUACUUAAUUCAAAUACCCACAUCGGAAAAACAAAUUCACUGAAUCCAAACUUAAAGAACAAGAAAGGAAGGGGAUAAAUUGACGACCAAUCAUCCGAGAUAGCAAUUUUCAGAAAAUGAAACAAACAUAGUGUAGACCAAAGUUUUGGGCAUAUCAACUACUGAAAAAAUGAUAUCUUAUAUAAAGAUAAAGGCAUGUUUAUUCUGUCAAGAAUUGCAUUAUCUCAACCUUCAACAAAUAUUUGUACAGAUAAUGGACACCAAGAACCAACUCACCAGCUACAUCUUCCCUGCCACGGAGCCUCUGCAAAACCUGCUUGGCCUCAAUCAUCCGCCCUUUACUAACAAGCCAUCUAGGAGACUCAGGCAAAUAAAGCACUGCUACAGCAAAAUAAGCAAUCGAAGGAAUCGAAAGAACAACAAGCAUUAAUCUCCAGCUUGGCGAGCUCAUCAAUGACAUUCCAAACACCAUGCAGUAUGACAAAAACAUUCCAAGAGAACCACAAAACUGAGGCAAAGUGUUCAGUAAACCUCUAAUUUCUGGAGGCGAUGUCUCAGAUAUGUAGAUAGGAACUAAAGUAACAGCCAAGCCAACUCCAAACCCAUCAAGCAGCCUUCCCAAAAGCAGGACAUACACAUUAGGGGACCAGAACAUCACAAGACCACUCACAAAAUAAAGGACAGACGAGACUAUAAGCAUAGGACGACGACCAAGCCAAUCAGCAACACCGCCAGCGAACGUAGUAACCAAUACGGCACCAAUAAGCGACAUGGCCACGAUUAAACCUUCUACAGUAGGAUCUGACUCCAAUUUGAACUCCCUCUUUAUGUAUAGUACAGCCCCUGCAUUUUUUUUACAAGAAUAAAGCGACAAGUACACAUUUUAUGUUUCAACAACAAAAUACGGGGAAAAACAUGCAGUUAUAAAACUAUAUAAGAUUUGGAAAAAGGUGCUUGCAUAUUUGGAAAUAUAAAAUUUGAAUAAAAUAAAUUGUGCAGUGCUUAUAAAAGUGUGGACUACAAACCAAUCCAAUCCUCGCAAAAUGUGACUAAUCCUAAAUAAUAGGCGUCUAGUAAGAAUAUACAUUCACGUUCACACAUGCAUAGCGAAGACAUAACUAGAUGAUGAGAAAGAUUUACCAGCAAUUGUGGCAUUGUCCCAUCCUUGCAAUAGGUUACCGAUUGUAGCGCCAAUAGCCACAAGGACUGCUCCACUCAUCUUCCUUCAACAGCAAGACAGCCAAAAGUGAUUGAGAGGUUUAAUAUUGUAACUUUUAAGAGAGGUAUCAAUUGAACCACCCAAACCCUUUCAUGGGAACGGGAGUUUUGUCAUUUCUACAGGACUAGAGUUCAUGAAACUUGAUAACGAGAGGAAAGGAAAACUGCUGCUGAACUCAAGAAUUGACACUAGAGAAAUAAGAACCAAGACAUAAUUUUUAGCUGCAAAAGAAGCAAACUAAGUGAAAACUUGGAAUGCAGUUUCUCAGCACCGGUAGUCCAGAUAACUAUCCUAAUUCACCAGCAAAAGCAUAAUGACUGACUCCAGAAAGAUGCCCAUUAUAAUUCACACCCCAUAUGUGACACUGAAUUACAAGCCUGAAACUACAGAGCUUUGAAACUAGACAAACCCAUGAAUCCACGAUAUAUGAUCGGCAUUCAUCCUUUUGACAACAGAAUGUGAUGUGUAGACACACAAUAAACGAAGCAAACAACGAACAACACCCAAAAAUAACAUUCGUCAAUAUGUCAGAGAUUCAAAAUGUCACAGAAAGACUAGCAUUUUAAGCUAUGGAGCGAAGAAUAUGCAAAUAAAUCUCUCCUUGCUGAAAUGCCGCACACAAAAUGUGGCAGCCAAGUUAAAGAGUAAUGAAUAGAAAAUUUUCAAAUUUGAAGAUAAAGAGGGCUGUGGCUGCUGCAAGUAAGCCAGUGGACUUUGAACCUGAUUUUGAACUGUCUAUAUUAGGGUUCAAGGAAUGAAGAAGAACAGGGAAACCACUGGAGGGCGUCACAGGUAAGCACCAAGCAAUAUGCAUAUACUAUCAUAACAGGUUACAAUACAGAAUCCGUAAGCCGUAGUUUCAAAAUCUUCAGUAGAGCCUCAAAUUCAUAAUCAGAUAAAACAUGAGAGAAGAUUUUGAAACAAAAGGUUGCAGAUAAAGCAUGACGAGGGAUUGAAGCAUCAUAGUAGUGCUUAGUAUCAUUUCUAAACCAACGCACAAUCAUAAAUAGUAAAGCCUCGUAAAACAAACGUGAAAAAGAUUACAGAAAACUAGCAGUAUACAGAAAGAAGAUAGAGGAAGGACAGAUUUUUUUUUCUUUUCCUGUAAAAACAAAAAAAAAAAGAAGAGAAGAGAAGAAACAGCAAGCAAAUAUUAGAAAUAUAAAAAAAAAAAAAAAUUUACCUGGGGUCUUGAAUCUCUCCGCUCCUCGUUUGUCCUGAAACUGAACUAGUGGGAUGCUGCUGGAAAGGAUUGAUUGUGAGAACUGGGCGGCGAAUAAUGAUCGAAAAAACAAAAGAGAGAAAGAGGGGGGGAUGAAAAGAUUCGAUAGGGCCAACUGAAGGUGGAACAGAACCAGGAUGAGAUCCAACAAACACCAAAAUCCAAAAUCAAAAAGCCAAAAAAAAAAAAAAAACGCCUUAAUCCGAGUCUAGGCCAUCCGGCAUGUACUCUAUAAUACUACUACUAUCUAGUAUAUUAAUUCCAGUACUGCUCCUCCCCACUUUUCACCCUGUAACAAUGAUUGUGACUACUGACUAGUGCUGCUUUUGUUUUGUUUUCUAUUGUAUAUUUAUAUGAAAUGAAAAAAAAAAAAAGCUAAUCCCUACUUUGACAUGAUUGUGAGCAGUAGAAUUUUGAUUGAUCACUGGCCCUCACCACCCAACUUUCAAAGUUUAUAUAUAGUAACGGCAGCAGCAGCAGUAGUAGUGCAAAGUAUGUUGUUUUGUUACCUAUACGUGACUGUACGCCUGCCUGUAGGGGGAUGAUUUUGUUAUUUAACUACUACUCGUAUUAAGCAAACAGAAAAACAAAAACAGAGAAAGAGAGCGAGAGACAGAGAGGAUAAAAUAGUACGUACAACGUAGUAGUAGUAGUAGUGCUAAGUUAAGCAAAGCAGCAGAAGUGCUUUGUUAAGAGUCUGACUGGGGAAGCAGAAACGCAACUCCUUUCCUCCUUUGUAUUGCUGCUGCCCAACCAACGGAAAACACAUCCUCCCAAUCAAAACUUUGUCGCCUGAUUCAAGUGGGUCUCUCUCUCUCUCUCGGCCCCAAAAGAAGAAAAAAUAAAUAAAGAGCCUAAUAAUAAAUUAAUAAAUUAACACAAAGCAGGAAGGAGGUCAGGAGCAGGAGGAGGAUGAUGAUGACGACGAUGAUGAGUACCUACCAGCUGUCAAGAAGAAAGAAACCGAACAGAACAAGCAGCAAAGCUUUGGCUCAUCCUUCAAAAAUUUGAAAAUCAAUCAGUCGCUCGCUCUCGCUCUACUAAAUUAUUAUAUAUACACAUACACACCUAGUACUACUAGUCCACCACGUAGCUAAAUUACCUGUAAUUAUCGGAGUACUAUAUUAGACUACAGUACAAGCAAGCUCCCUGGAAUGAGCCACAACACAACUCAACUCCCUCCGCUCCACGUCAAUUAUCUUUUGGUGUCAUUAUCAAUCAAUCACCUAUUCGCUGGCUCGGUGCCUGCCUGCCACCAAACGAAAAAUAUAAUUUAUUCUGCUCUUUUUGUUUUUUCUUCUUUAUUUUAAUAUUAGGAUGGGAUAAUUUCAGAAACCUUCUCUUCACUCGGCUCCCCUGAGAUUUGAAAGCAAAAUUAUAUUUAAAAUGAUAAUUUUACUCUUAAAUAUUUUAAUAAAAUUCUCUUAUUUGAUAUGCUUAUAAUUAGAAUGAGUUUUAAAAUUAUUCUUUUAUUCUUUUUUCUUCUUAUUGUUUUUCUUAAUUUUUUUAUCAAUAAAAUUGUAGAACUAUCACUAUUACCUCUAGGUUUCUAUUAUAACCAAAUGUCGAACUAGUGAUUUUUCUUUUUACCAGUUAAUUUAGAUGUAGUUCAAUGUUUUGUUGAUCUUUGUUUUCUAUUUUUUGGUAUUAAAAAUAACAAUAAAUCAAAAGGAAAUGGCCCAAAAGUAUUACUAAAUUAUGAUAAUCCCACUAUUUCAAAAAUUUAUAAACUCUAAAUAAAUUAUUUCAACAUGUUCUUUUCUAUCUUAUAAAUCUAAAUUCAUAAUAAAAUACCAUAAAAAAUAUCAUAUCAUAGUAUUAAAAUAAUUGUUUAUCAAAUAGUAGAUAUGGACAUAAAAAAUUUGGCACUUUUUCUUUAUAAUUAUACUAAAUAAUCAUAUAAUUGUAUAGAAAAAUAAAUUAAAAUUCAUUAUACAAGGCCAUUUUUGGAUAUUUAUUUUAAAAAUUGUCCAAGUCAAUAUUAUUUUAAAGUUUUGUUAUUAAAACUAUCAAAUCAAGGAAGGUAAACGAAAUUUUUUAAAUUUUAGAGGAGUGUGAAAUUGUCAAAAACCUCAAUGAAGAUUUCUGAAAUUAUCCCUAUAAGGAAUUGCGAAAUGGAAAAGGAUGGAAAACAUGGGCUGGGUAGCUGAAGUUUGGGGCAAACUGAUUACACUCGAAGAUACGGGCCUAUGGUCAAUCAAAUCCGGUAGUCUGAAUUUUUAGAAUGUAGGCCAAGAAAUUCGAUCUCUUAACCUACGCUCAGCCCAAGUAAUUUUGGAUUAAAAAGUAAUGGAUUGUAAUACAGCUCAUAGACACAUUUUUCAUUUAGGUAAGAAUAAGUCUGGAGUUGGACCUGCCCUUUCUGGGUGCUGUUUUUGGUACUCAAUUUGGCGUUGUGUAAAUGUGGCCUGCUUAUUUAACUUAGGAAGCAAAAGAAGUUUUCCUGCCCACAGAGUCGCAUGCUACACAUUGAAUAAGGUUCAACUACAUCUUGGCUUGUAAUUUUGGAUUUGUCAUGUGAAUGCAAAGUCAUGAGCAUGUGGCAUCCCUUGUUCAUGAAUAUGAAACUCAAAUUUGAGUUUUUUGUGAGGAAUUGUGCAUGGAGCUCAUAGUCACAUUAUCCCUUGUCCAUUGUUUUUUAUUUUUAUUUUUAUCGAGACGAUAACUGUUGUAUAAUCUAUUCUAUCCUACGUUAGAAGGGAGAGGGAGCCUAAAGAGGCUUGUAUUGAAGACUAGCAGGUAUACAAACCUUACUCAUAGUCACAUUGUUGAGCUCACCCAAGUUUAGGCUUUCAGUUCAAGUGUCAGAAAUUUUAAUAGCGCCUCAGAGCACAGCUAAUAUGAAGUGAUAAGCAUUAAACACUACUGUUGCGACACUAAACUUUUGAGUUGGUUAAUCUUUGGCAGUUUCUAUGAUUAUGUUUUCAACAUUUGAACAUUCGGUGGAUUUUAUAUAUCAGAACAUUGUCCAAAAGAGAAACGAAGAACAGUUCGACAACUUAGUGUGACAUGUUUAGCUAGCUAAUGCAGCUGGAGCUGUUCGUACCGUGAUCUCUAAUCCUGUUGAUCUCUUUAUUGUGUCAUCCCUUUACAACAGAAAGGCUGAAACUAUUUGGCAGCCAAGUUUUUUGUCAAGUUUGUUUUUUACAAGUUUUUUAAAAACUUUAAUUACAGUAACAUUAAAAACUUUUCAAAGUUUUUAAAUUAUACACUUCAAAAUAUUCAAAAAAAAACACACGCUUCGAAAUUUUUUUAAAAAACUUCUACAUAAACUACAGUAAAGUUUUAAACAAACAUCCAAAAAACUCACUUGCAAAAUGGGGCCUGUAUUGCAGGUAAAAACUACUAAGCUUGAGUGGCCACCAUGGAGGGACUUAAGUCCCUUCUAAAACUGUAGGUGAGAAUUCAAAUCCAACCUGUAGCGAAAAAAAUUCAAGGGUGGUAUCAAAGCACUCCUUUGAUCUAGUAAGAUUUGUAUACCUGCUAAUCCCUAACACAUGUAUCUUUAGACUUCCCCUUCUCUGUAAAUUAUGAUGGAAUAUAUUAUACAAUUGUUGUUGCCCAAAAAAAAAAAAGUAGACAAUUGAAACCUGUUUUUAAAUGAACUUUUUUUGUAAAUGGAAUUAGUUGGGUUGGAUUUCACAUGCUGUAAAUUUUAAGGCUGCAAAGAACUAUACAGGGUUUGUCAAUUUGUUUACUAGAAGUCUUCCUGUUCGAAUGACUAUUGUGGGGCCAGUUGUGAGUCUGCAGUGGUUUUUCUAUGUCAGCAUCAAGGUGUUAAGCGGGCUGUAAGUAUUGGUUUUUGUUUACCUUCCAUUCUCAGUGCUUUUGUGCUCUUUCUUGGAUUAUCUGUGCUUGGGGUAUAGAAAUUGAAAAUGCUACUGCCAAAUCUAGCAUCUAGCUGGAAAUUUGAUCAUCUGUGCCUCAAUCGAUUGUUGUACAUCUAACUCCUGGAGAAUAUGUUCAACUGUUAGUUAAAUGGCAAUGUUGUUCCUCAGAUUUCUCAUCCCCAACAACCCCACAAAACAAAAAAAAAAGGGCUGUUGAUUUUCCUUAUGGAGGCUUGUUUUAUUGAAGAGUAGGAAGGAUCAAGAAAUCAAAUACAUGUCCCUCGCCCUUCCUCCCGCCCUCCCCCGUCCACAAAAAAAGGGGGAAAAAAAAGAGAGUAAAUGUUAAUGAUCUCUCUUUACCAUGAAACUACCAAUGCAAGACAAUGAUGAGGUUACAUGCAAUUGUGUGCCUGCUUCCUUGGGUGGAAAGAGAUAAUUGCAGUGUCCAUUUUAUGUGUGGUGAAAGUCUCCUGCUUUGCUAAUUUGUUGCCUCAUUUAAUGAUUGUGAUUUUGUUUUACAAAUUCAUUUUUAGCUUUGUGUCCUGAAAAAAUGUAGGCCUACUAGCGGAGGAGGGCUUAGCAAGCAUGUUAAAGAUACCACAACGUUAAGCUGCUAGGAUGUGAACAAAGAGUCAAAUGGCAAACAGAGGUAAUGAAACCGUGCAUGGUGGUGGCUUCUCAAGUUAUAGCUGAUAUGUUAUGUCAAUAAGUUUCUUUUAAUUAUCAGGUUCUCAUUGUUCAAUCAAAAGUAUAUGAAUCAACGUAAAGCUUUGAAUGCCACAUUAUUGUUUAGAUAGAGUUUGAAAGACUAGGAAGUUAACUCUGAAAAUAAGUUAGUGUGUUUCUCCUUGAGAAGGUUGUGCUGUGCAUAAUCAGUUGAUGCAUAAUCUAGUCUCUUGAUGCGAAAGAAACGGGCCGGAGUGUUGGUUGAGACUUUUGAGUCUUGAGAAAAUGCUACUAUAUAUCAUGAUUUUGUAGAAAAGUGAAAUUACGAAAAAUCGACGAGAAUUGAACCACUAUGGAACCAUAUCAGUGCAUUACGCACCCUGCUCUGCUAAAUCCUUGAGGAUAAAGUUUAAGGCUCUAUAUUAGUAGUAUAUCUAUGGACGAAACUUGCAGGAGAAGUGAAACAAAGGUGGAUAAUCUUGUACUAAUAGUCUUUGAGAUGUCAUACGAGAUUUAGCCCCGUACUUUUGUCUUGGGCAAAACACACGUGGUUUUAACUUUUAACUAAGUCCAACGUAUUACUGGUUGGGUUAGAUUUGGAUGACGCGACGAAAUGUGAAAAUUGGACAUGUCCGAUUUUGGUUGCCAACCUUGACCGAAUUAAUGACCGUAGACUGCCCUGAAUGGGGCCAUGCUUCGAUUUUUUUUUUUUUAUUGGUACAAUCCCCAGAUGUUCGCAUCCGUUUUAUGAUCUGCGACUAAUCCUGUUCGAGUCGGAUCGGAUCCCUUGCAGAGAAAACUCUUCCAAAGUUAUUUUUUUCAUUCCGAUGGGUUUCAAACUCGAGACCAUGGUUAAGGGAUGCAAACCUCUUCCACUUGCACCAACAUCCGUUGGUGGGCCAUGUUUCUAUUGAAACGGACAAUGUUGUACCAGUACAAGAUUAAGGGAACUAGAAUUGCUGAUUACGCAUGGGUGGCGCGAUAAAAAAUAUAAAAAAAAACUCAACUCUUUCUUUCCCUGAGCAGGCAGGGUUUGCACCUGAUUUAGAAAAUGUUGUUUAUAGUCAGACCUCUAAAGCAUCAAAUACGAGUUUUCAUGGGCAUCAGUAAUUUUAUAGAACUCUAAACCCUUCUUAUGUAGACCUCGAGUAUUGUUUAGUUUUCAAUAGAAAGUUAUUAAGAGUAGUAUUAUUAUUGAUCCUCGUAAAAAAGCAAAAUAUCAUAGCACACUAUGGGUCAAAAACUCGGGAGCAUUUAUCCAUUAACUUUAAUUUAUGCAAGUCAAAAACUCAAUCUUGACUCAAAUUAAUAUACUAUUUCAUACCCUUAUUUAUUUAGAUGUUAUAUGCUAUAACACAUGUGUCUCUGUUUGGGUUAUAAAUUAUUUGAGAUAUUUUUACUGUAGCAUUUUUUGUGAUGUGAUGCAUGUGAGAUAAAAAGGUAAUUGGAAAGAUAAAUAGGUGUGUUGAAAAUUGUAAUGAUGAUGAGUGUGUUUGGAUUGUAAGUUAUUUGAAAUAUUUUUACUGUAGCACUUUUUGUGAUGUGAUGUAUGUGAGAUAAAAAAGUAAUUGGAAAGAUAAAAAGGUGUAUUGGAAAUUGUAAUGGUGAUGUCAGCAAAUAUAUUUGGCCAAAUAAUUGGCUGUCCAAACACACUCGAUGUAAGCAAAUAAAUUUUGACAAAUAAUCCUCUAUCCAAACAAAUAGAGUCACUAUUCUUUUGUUACUAAUUAUAUAACCUAUUCUAUUUUAGUAGCUAAAUCAAAAGAACGUUUUGAUAUCACCCUUAGAUUUUUUUUUUUUAUUGCAAGUGAAAUUUGAACCCCUCACUUACAAUCUAAAGAGAGACUUAAGUCCCUUCUUUUUCUCAGUGGACACUCAGCUUGCUUAGUGGUUCUACUCUUUUUUUACUCUCUCGGACAGAAUUCCUACUCUUUUUUGCUUGGCUCCACUUUCAGCACAUUGAUUUAGGCGGCUUGAAUGUACAAACAAUAAUGUUGAACGAAUCAAAGAUAUAAUACUAACAGUUAGGAGCACCGCCAAAACCUCAAGGGUAGAUUGUAAAAUUGUCGUCGAUGGAGUCAUAAUUAACAACAAAAGGCUGCUAGCAAAGCAAGGCUGGUGAGCGCUCGAACAUAAAUGAAAUCUAAAUGUGGACAUGGAUGUUUCUGGGCAAGUGACACAUUUUAUUGUGGCAGGAAAGAGGCUGGGACAACGCUACCUCUGAACUUGUUCUCUCUCUCUCUCUCUCUCUCUCUCUCUCUGGAUAAAAAGCUUGUCUCUCACCUGUUACAAGAUUUUUUUUUUCUCUAAAUCAUGUGCCUGAAUUAAAAGUAGGGAUAAUUUCGGAAACCUACCUUGAAGUUUUUGACAAUUUCACUUAGCUCCCUCGAGAUUUUAGAAAUUACGCAUACCUCUCUAGUCAUUUAAAAUGACAAUAUUACCCUUAAAUAUUUUAAUGAAAUGACUCCCUUAUUGGUGUGUUCAUAUUUAGACUGAUUUUUAAAAUUAUAUUGUUUUCAUUCUUUUUCCUUCUUAUUCUUCUUUUGUUUAAAUUUUUUGCCAAUAAAGUUGUAGAAUUACUACUGUUACCUCUAGUUUCAUUUGUAACCGAAUGCAGAACUAGUGAUUUUUUUGAUGAGUUAACUUUAUACGUAAUCCAAUGUUUUUGCUAAUCUUUGUUUCUUAUUUUUUGGUAUUAAAAUUAAUAAUAAAUUAAAAAGAAAUGGUCCAAAAUCAUUGCUAAAUUAUGAUAAUCCUACUAUUUGAAAAAUUCAUAAACUCUAAAAUGAAUUAUUUCAACAUUUUCUUUUCUAUAUUAUAAAUUUAAAUUCAUAAUAAAAUACCAUUAAAAUUAUCCCAUUAUAGUAAUAAAAUUAUUAUUAUAUUUGUUUAUCAAAUAGUAGACAAGAACAUAAAAAAUUUGGCACCUUUUUUCUUAUAAUAAUACUAGAUAAUCUUAUAAUUGUAUGUGAAAGUAAAUUAAAACUCAUUACACAAGGGUACUUUUGAGUAAUCAUUUAAAAAUUUGAUCGGGUCAAUAUUAUUUUAAGAUUUUGUUACUAAAACUAUCAAAUUAAGGGAGUUAGAUGUAAUUUUUAAAAUCUCAGGAGAGCUCAGUGACAUGAAGGACCGGAAGGGGGAGUGACUUUACAGUUCAAAAAUCAUCAUUCAUUUUUGAAUUGAAUAAACUCAGGCCUAAUGAAUUCAAACUUUUGUCAACAAUUGAAUAAAGUUAAGGCCUAAUGUAAUGAAUUCAAACUUUUGGAAACAACUGAGCACCAAAUUCAUUAUCAUGACAUUAACAAUUAUCCUAGUCCCACCUUUUUAUUGGGUGCCUUUACAGAAAAAGAUUAGGAGUAGUGGUAUAAAAGAAGCCAUCAAUGGAAAAGCAACAAGUUUAAUAUUGACGGAGGGGUUGUGUGUAGACUAGCAGUAUCAUCAUGUUCUCUUUGCUUGCAAGUAAGUCCCGUUAUUUAUUUCAACUAUAUAUAUAUAUUUUUAUGCAUAUAUAUAUAUUUUGACUGACUGAAAGCGAAAAAAUAAAACAGGCAAUAACAGGUGCACCUUAAUGUAUAAUGGAGUAGUCGAGUAGAUUUUUAUUAUUUGUAGAGUGAGAUUUCUCUGCUUGUUUAUUUAUUAUUUUAAAAAAAGAAGAUAUGGAGAAAAUGAUAGGGACUGAAGGAUAUUAACCAUCAUCAUCGUCGUCGUCCUCCUGAUUUUUUCUGGUUCUGAUGAUGAUCGUGAUUCAGAUUCAUACGAUCGUCGUCGUAGUUUCCGCUCUCAUUCGUGAUCCCGCCGGCACAUGAUACGUCGAUCGACCUAAACUUUCCUCAAAGGUCUGUUUGUUUGACUCCUAAUCUCUCUCUUUCUCUAAUCUGCAUAUCUCUAUGUCUCGCAUCCUUCUCCUUGACUUCUGAUAGCUGAUUUGUCUGACGUUAGCUCCGGCACAGCUGGUACUUGCUUUAAUUAUUUCUUCUCUUUUCUCCUUCCGAUUUUUUUUUUUUUAAAUAAGAUUGGGAAAAUUAGAUAUUAGACCUUUUAGAUCUCUUAGCUCUCUUCUCCUGUGCUGGCGUUGGAAUUGGGAUUCCGCAAUCAGCUCAGGUGAUAUCUUUCGCGCAGAAGUUAAAAGUACGCGCCAUCUUCUGCUUCUCUUUUUUGUAUAUUAUGAACGUUGAAGCUGGUCCUUUUUGUCGAUUUGGAAUCUGAAAUGUUCUCCUCCUCUUCUUUUGCUUUACGCAUUUGCUUUUGCAUAUUCAUCCGAUCUCCCAUUUCUCGCUUAAUUCUUCUUGUCUGUGUCUGCUUCUGUUCCUUCUCUCUCUAUCUCUAUUUUUUUUUCUCCCUACUUAUUGUAUCUUUUUAUAUUUUUUCUGUUUCCUUACUUCUCUUUUCUAAAAUUUUCUUUUUCUUCGUUUGUGUUGUAUAUUGUGAACAGAACCCCCAAAAAAACACACACACACACACACACAGAGUAAUUGAAUGAAUUGUUCAACAUUUUUCCCGUCACGAAUUCGUCCUCAUUUUUUGUGAUUUACUCGUGUAUUACAGUCUCUGUAGUUUGAAGUGAACAACAAACAUUUGGAUGAGGAGGAGACAGCUAAUCUGUUACAGCAGCAGUUAAGAAGUAAUAAUACCUUUUCUGAGGCACAAGUUUGGGUGGGGGUGAGGGUAUUCUGAUUGUUUCAUGGGCAAUACAUGCCGUGGAUCUUUUGGAGGCAAGCAUUUUCAGGGCUACGCAACUCCCGAAGACCAUUCUAACCCCAAGCGUAACCCUUCCUCCACCUCCACCGCUGCUCACUCUGACCAUUCUUCUUCUGACAACUUCUCUCCCACCACCUUAGCGUCUCAACACCUUGUUGCUCAAGAUUUGUCCAAGGAUCCUCACCACCCAAAACCCCAAAACGAAAACCACAAUCAUAAUUUCGCCCUUGUUAGUCCCAAGAAGGAGACCUCAUGAGUCGUGCCAACAACAAUCAAGCUUACUAUGUAUUAGGUCACAGGACUGCUAAUAUCCGUGACCUUUACAUGUUAGGACGUAAACUAGGACAGGCCAGUUUCGGUACCACUUAUUUGUGCACCGACGUUUCCGCUGGUGUUGAAUAUGCCUGUAAAUCAAUCUCAAGAGGAAGCUAAUUUCCAAGAAGAUGUUGAGGAUGUUAGGAGGGAGAUUCAGAUCAUGCACCACUUGGCAGGCCAGAAGCAUAUUGUUACCAUUAAGGGAGCUUAUGAGGACCCUUUGUAUGUUCAUAUUGUCAUGGAGCUAUGUGCUGGAGGUGAACUGUUUGACCGUAUUAUCCAAAGGGGACACUACAGUGAGAGAAAGGCAGCACAAUUAACUAAAAUUAUUGUAGGGGUUGUUGAAGCGUGCCAUUCACUUGGGGUGAUGCAUAGAGAUCUAAAGCCAGAGAAUUUCUUGUUGAUUAACAAGGAUGAUGAUUUCUCUCUCAAAGCCAUUGAUUUUGGACUCUCAGUUUUCUUCAAGCCAGGUAAAUGAAAUCUUGAUUUCUAAAUCAUCCAAAACAAAAGUAGAAGAUACAAAAUUUUAUGAGACAUUCUUCCAAUUUUGUCCUGCUAUCUCCUUUCAGAGUCGAUUAUUGUAUGAUAACAUUAAAAGUGACCAACCUUGCAGGAUGUUUUAAGGCAUAUGGUCUUUUGACUUUUGUCUAUCUCUAAUUGUUUCAGGCCAGGUAUUCACUGAUGUGGUUGGAAGCCCAUAUUAUGUUGCCCCUGAGGUGCUUCUAAAGCAUUAUGGUCCCGAAGCAGAUGUCUGGACAGCAGGGGUCAUUCUAUACAUUUUGCUUAGUGGUGUUCCACCCUUUUGGGCUGGUAUCAUUUCCUGCUCCAUACUAGACAGUUGUGUUCAUUUCUGUACUAUAUGGUAAAAACUCAUGCUACUAUUUUGCAGAAACACAACAAGGGAUAUUUGAUGCGGUUUUGAAGGGACACAUUGAUUUUGAAUCGGACCCCUGGCCAUUAAUAUCUGACAGUGCACAAGAUCUCAUCCGGAGGAUGUUAUGCAUGCGACCUUCAGAGCGCUUAACUGCUCAUGAAGUUUUAUGUAAGUCUGUAUUCAUGAAGUGUUAGCAGCCAAUUUUAUGUUAUUUUUAUUGUCCUAUGUGAAUGAUUCUGUUCACAGUUCUUUUACUUAGUCCAGCAUUUUGGUCAAUGCAAUUACUUUGUAACCAAGACUACUUGUUUGACAUGAUGAAUACGCAUAUUCCAUUGGAUUGCAUUAGGUAUCAAUAUUGUCUGCAGUUGGCUUAACUCCCUGUAUAGUUCAGUUGAUGUAAUUGGUUGCCUUCUGUACUAAAUAUGCUUGAUUGAAGAGAUUGAAGUAUGCGCUUGAUGUGUGCACUCUAGAUACUAAAAUGUGGCUUCAGGCAUUAGAUUAAUUUUGUCGUGGUUAAAGUUUUUAGCGGUUAACAUUCUUUUGAAGCAUGUGUGGUGCCUUUGGCAAAAAGCAUUGCUGUGCCUUUUUCUAUAUGUUUCAUCUACAUAUAUGUGUAUUCAUACAAAUGAUAGUGCUAGUAGUAUUUUUUGUUGUACCUAUUCUACUUCGCGUAACUAACCUUUGGUGUCUGGUGAUAAUACAAGUUACUGAAAUGUUUAUGUGAUUCUUAUGCCUUUACCUUAAUGUUGAUAGGUCAUCCUUGGAUAUGUGAAAACGGCGUUGCUCCUGAUAGAGCUCUAGAUCCUGCUGUACUUUCUCGUCUUAAGAAUUUUUCUGCAAUGAAUAAAUUGAAGAAGAUGGCUUUGCGGGUAUGUAGUAUAUAAACAGCAUCUCUUGGACUGUGGCCUUGUAAAUGUUUUCUUGCCUACAGUGCAAUUUUUGCUUUCUCUGUGCGAAAGCGCCUACCUCAGAAACAAUAGCAAUUUUUUAUUUCUUUCGUGUUACAAUCUUUGCAUGAAUUUUUAAAAUAAUUCAUGUGCAUUAAAGUUGUUUCAUGAUAUAGAUGUUGACCCAGUAAUCUUGCAAUGUCAAAUGCAUUUAUUCGUACUUGGAAAAUCAUUGAUUUGUUAUCUCAGAGCAGUACAGAACCAUAUCUUUGCAAGAAACAUCAUAAUGUCCACAUAAAAACAAGUUAUAUUUGUAUGACCAGCCAACUGUUAAAAACAGCUUGCAAUAGCGUGCUCUCUCUCUCUGUCUCUGUUCCCCAGCCAUGGUGGGCAACUGUAGAGGCAUUCUGGUUAAUUUAAUCUACAUCUGCUUUAUUUAUUCCCAGGUGAUAGCAGAAAGCCUGUCUGAAGAGGAGAUUGCUGGCUUAAGAGAGAUGUUCAGGGCAAUGGAUACUGAUAACAGUGGUGCGAUCACAUUUGAUGAACUUAAAGCUGGACUGAGAAAAUAUGGAUCUACCUUGAAAGAUAUAGAAAUACGUGACCUCAUGGAUGCGGUGAGAAGCUGUUCCCCAGCGUGUAUUAUGUUCUAUACCUGUGCUCGAUUUGUGGAGUGGACAAAUUAUUUCAUUUCAUUGUUCCUUUUUUUAUCUGGGAUCUUUGCUAGGAACCUGCUGAGAUGAAGAAAAAGAUUUAACCAUACUUAAUGAUCAUAGGAAGUUUCUAAUCUGUGGUCUAAUGAAUUAUGAAGCUUGGAAUCCAUAUGUUUUGUUGAAUGGUAAUAUUUAUCCUUGUAAGAAUCCAUGAUGUGAGUCAUGAAAUAUGGAUUUUGAAUGUAGGUUUAUAAAUUCUUCUUGUGCUUUAUGUAUUUGUGCAAGUGCAGUCAGCAACACAACUGCUGAAACGUAUAGCAAAUAAUGUAACUUUUUCUAUCCCCUGGUGUAACUUUUAGACCAUUUUAUUUGGGAAAUUCAUGCUUCUUGUGGCCGGGAUUCAUAUUUUUAGCAUUUUAAUUCUUAGUGUAUUCCUAGGAAAGUUCUUAGGAAAGUUAACUAGUAAUAGUGUAUUCCUCAUCUAUCACUAGUGAACUAAUAUCUAUUAUUUGGAUUAUAGUCAUGCUAGUAUAUGCUCACAUUGAAUAUUAAAAAAGAAAUCUCUACUUUGCAGGCUGAUGUGGAUAACAGUGGGACCAUCGACUAUGGAGAAUUUAUUGCAGCAACAAUUCACCUUAACAAAUUAGAACGCGAGGAACAUCUCAUGGCAGCCUUUCAAUAUUUUGAUAAGGAUGGAAGUGGUUAUAUUACAGUUGAUGAACUCCAGCAAGCUUGUGCCGAACAUAAUAUGACAGAUGUUUUCCUUGAAGAUAUUAUCAGAGAAGUUGAUCAAGAUAAUGUAAGUUUGAUACUUGGGGAGAGAAUGUGGAUCUCAUUGUUCAGUUUAUAAAUUGCUUGUAGUUUAGAACUAAGGGUGCUAACAGUGUUAGUUAUUCAUUUAAAGUUACCUUCCACAGUUGGCUAUGCUAAUCUUUGACUAACUUGUAACAAGUUUACAUCUUGGACACAAAAGUUUGGCACUCCUGGCAUCUCUAGUGUCAUGUGGGGAAUGACUGGUGGAAUUAUGAAGCCUUUUGUUCAACAAAAUCUUUCCCUCUUGUCUCCAUUCUCUUCCUUACUGGCAAGAGCAAUAUGAUUAGUUAAGCGAGAGACAUUCAUGCUAUGUUUGGUAGAGAAGGAAGAAAAUUUGACAGAUGAAAAAAAGGAUGAAUUUAUGUUGCUGGUAGCACCAUUACUUUCCCUUAACUUAUUCGUAUGGAAAUUAUUUUGUUGUUCCUAGGGUAUAUAAGUAUUUAGUAUGUACAUGGCAAGAUAAUCGAGGUCAAAAGUGAAUAAGCAUUUGAGCCUGCCUUCCUUCCAUCUUCUUCCCCCAGUGAGAUAAAUCCCAGAAAUUUGGGGUAUUUAGUUUGAUUAGCUGGGCCCCUUCCUUCCCCAUUUGUAAGAAUUACCAACGUAAUCUCUCCUGUCAGUCUAAUUGUGGUUUAAAUAAUCUGUUUUUGUCCUUAUUCUUCCUUUUUAUUUUGUUGUAAUAUGUACAAUUACUGUGCUUAAGCUUGUAUACAAUUUCAGGAUGGAAGGAUUGAUUAUGGGGAAUUUGUUGCUAUGAUGCAAAAAGGCAAUGCAGGCAUUGGAAGACGAACAAUGCGAAACAGUCUCAAUAUUAGCAUGAGAGAUGCUGCAGGAGCUCCUUGAUCAUUAGUUACUAUAAUCAGACACCUCAUUCAUUACUUCUAGUCAAACUUGUGUCUUUGCAGUGUCCUAUUCUCUACUGUUAUGGAAGAACGAAAGAUCAGGAAGCUGUAAGGGCAUCCUUGGUAGUCAAUGUAAUUAUACAGGUAGAUCAUAGGACACUUGCCCGCAAUUCUGUUUUUGAGCAAUUACACCUGUUGUUUGUUCUAAUAUUCUCCUUAUGCGAGCCAAGGAGGUAAAGAUGUUGAGCUCAAUGUGUAAAGUCUUGAUCCACUGCUUGAUCGCGCAGCGUGAGAUUUGGAUUGUCAAAGAUGAAGUCUGGAGCUUGAUCCUUGUUGCCCCGCCAUGAUGCAACUGUUGAUCUGGGGAGAAUGUUGUAAGCAUGGGAGAUACUUUGGUUAUUGGGCUAGUUCAGCUGCUUUCCGCUGCUAAUUUAUGCCGGUGUACUGAAGGGGGAAAAAUAAAAACUUUGUGCUUAUUCUUCUUGGAGGAGGUUGAUGUGCAGGCAUCUCAUCUAGAUUUGUUUUUUCCCAUUUUUUAGAUUAUGUACUUGGCUUGGUUUUGUAAUCGACAGAAAUGGCUCCAAACUCUGAAAAUUUUUCUUCUAGUUUUCUCAAUUCCAAUUUUGAGGUGUGUUGUUUUCGUAGAUGUUUUUGUGCUUCACAUGGACAGCAAUAGAACGGGGAGCUUUUUCCACUCUCAGAAUCGAAUAAAAUAAGCGUGGAAUCUAUAUAUGCGUAACAAGUUCUAUUCACGUGUUAAUUGAUGAAGAAAAAUUAGUGGGAGUGUUUGGAUAAAGUAUUAUUUGAAAUAGUUAUUAUAAUAUUUUUUAUGAUGUAAUGUAUGUGAGAUAAAAAAUUAAUUAAAAAUAUAAAAUAAUAAAUUGAAAAAUAUAUUUAGGGUGCAAGAAUAAUAUAGACAGUGAAGAAGUACCAGAAGCUGUUUACACGGAGAAGAAUAAUAUACUGCGACGGGCAAGAAGGAAUGCCGUUUACGCGACACGGAGACCUGAUGGUUGACACUGGAUGAUGUUGUAGUAUGACCGUACCAGAAGCUGAACCAGUUCUGCCCUGCGCGCAUGGUAAGAAUAACAAAGGCGCAAGUGAACUGUAAAGUAUUUUUCCUAUUAUGUCUAAUUGAAGACGGAUGCUUCAAUUCGGAGGGCUUUUCUUUUUUUCUUUGACGCUGUGCCAAUUAGAGGUUGCAGGUCCUGAUGUCAGUUUGUCAUCAACUCCUUGGCAGUUUCGCAUGCUAUUACAACUUCCUACACAAGAAAGAAAGUAAAGAGUAUAACUUGCAGGGAGGGCGGUGCUAAUAAGUAAUCGGACAAGUACUAGUAAGGAUAGGAUAAAAGAGGAAAUGAGAUUACUGGGACUUGCCUUCAACCUUGCAUCAGCCGAAAAGGAGCAUUUGGAGGUGAUUGCGAGUCCCCGGUCCAACAGCCAUCCAACUUGGAACCAAGUCUCUCCUUGCUCCUCUUCUUGAUUUGAUGAACACCAGAGUUGCUUUGGUAGCAGAAUGAGGCUACUGCCGUCUCUCGACACCGACAAAGGCACACUGUCAUCAUCAUCCACCACAAGUUCUCGGAAAUUCACCCUCUGACACAGCAUAACAGAUGCUAAUAAGAAUGUCAUCUGCUUGAAAACUGAAACGAAAGCUACAGACACAUACACAGAUACCAGCCAGCAAGAGUCAGUAGCAAAAUUAAUCUAACCUCCUCCUCCGGUUGGAAGGUGGCAGUUGCCGGGAGGCCUUGCCAUACGCCUGUGACUUGACAACUGGUCAAGGCAGGAGUAGAAGCAAAUGCAGAGUCUCGUAUGGCACAACCACCCAGCUGCUCCCCAUUUCUGAAGGGACCAUACCACUGCUCGCAGAAUACCUGGAUUCCCUCCAAUUGCAUCAUGUUCAUCGGCUCUCCUUGGUCGUCACCAUCUUCUGCCGGUGGUUGCUGUUUUAUCCGGACAGCCUGAAUUAUUCGCGCCCGGGAUUCCCCGUCUCGAGGGUGAAUCAGGCAAUGCUCCAACUCCAGCUGCACGAGUGAUCCGCCAUUCUCCUUGGGCCAAACAGCAACGUAACAUCCAUUGGAUUGAUAAGCAAAGGCGGUGGCGGCUGCCGGACUGGCAGCAGCAGCAUUAGCAAGAAGAAGAUUAAUGUUCCUCUGAAGAAGGCUAUAUGUGGUGGCAGCAUCAGCUUCGCAACCAACGGUGGGAAGUAGCCUGAUCAACUUGUACGUGAGUUGAAAAUGAGUUGGGUGAGCCAGAGUGGGGCACUGAGUUUGCCAGUCGAAAACCUUCACCUCCCAGUCCCUGUAGGCUUGGGGACUACUGAUUCGGGCAAUUCCAUGGGUUCCCCAUCCUUGCUAAAGUCUGCUCCAUAUCCAUCCCAUUCGCCGGAAACCUUCUCCGCAAAUUCUGCCCAACCUGAAGAAUUUGGUCCCAAAUAGCAGUACAAGUUUUGUUUUUCGCAUCAGAUGCUACUACUGCCAGUAGUAUUAUUAAUUGAGAUGGCCUGGAAACAGAUCCUUCAAAAAGUUCAAAAGUGUGCGCGUGUGUGUGUAUUAAAAGAAAAGGGAAGCACUCACUGGUGGAUGUUGAGGGGUGAACAUAGUGAGACUGGGGUGUUUCCUCCGUGAUGGCGGUCUUGGCAUUUGCAGGCACAGCGAAGAAUUUGACGCGUGGAAAUCUACAGGUGGCGUUGGAGGAGUGAUGCCUGCGGUGGAUAAAAAGGGUCUGACGAGGAUUUGGGGAAGAAGAGGGACAAUUUUUGAGAGAAGCAUUGAAUGCUAUGCGGAGGUGCCCGAAGACAGCUGUGUUAGCGCUUAAAGCCAUACCAUAACAAAGGAAGUGGUAGUUCUAGUAGUACUAUGUACACCGGCCGCAGCCCAGAGCAGCUAAGUCACACCAAGUCCGGUAUCUCCACUCCAAUCUCGGAAGCACUCUCCAUCACCGUCCAACCAUUUCCGACCACUAACAGUAACCAGACGCAAGAAGAUAAAAGGAGAAUCCGUCACUACUUUCUUCUGUUCCCGUUUUUAAUUUAAAAAAUAAUAAUAGUGUACCACUCUUUUUCUUUAUAUAUAAUAUAUACGGUGGUGAAUAUGAGAUAAUAAGUGAUAAUUAAAAAUAUAAUAAAAUUAAUAAAUUUACAAUGCAAGUUAAAUAAUAUUUAAAAGAAAAAAUUCCUAUCCAAUAUUUACAAUAAUGCUUUCCUAUUUUUCUUCACUUAAUUUACCUUAAUUUUGUUUGCGCGGAACUCUCUAUUGUUGCUGUUAGCUCACAUCUUACGUUUUUAGCCUUGCGUUGUUCUCAAGUUGUUGCUUGAAGUAGGUUGAAAGUGAAGGGCUAGUGGCAAGUACUUUGCCCACCUGAACUCCAAAUAUGCGUACUUACCUCUUACAAUUACACUUUGCCCCUCUAAACUGUUGAUGGGUUAAGAUGCAGUUAUAUUUUAAUUUUAUUCCAUUUCUUGUAUUCUCUUAGUAUAUUUGUUUCUGAGACUCUUUUUUGAGAAAAAAUCUUUAUUAAGUUUUAAUCACAUAUAUAAAAUAUAAAAUUAAAUUAAUAUAAAUAAUUUUUAAAAAAAAAUAAGUGAUAAGCAGGUGAGAUGAGCAUUCGUUGGCGUGACUUUAUUUAACGGGUACCCAAUGAUAGGUGAAGCAAAUACGGUCACAAAAUGACUAUUCUAUGCGAAUUGGGUCAACCCAAUCGUGACGGGACCGCCCCUAACGGUGGGAAGCAAAAAGCAGCUGUAUAUGGGGUGUUCUUUUUUCACUUUAGGAAGCGUUGGUCGUGGUCGUGGUCGGUGGCACCUCGCCGCCAAGAUAUAAUAACCACCCCAGUGCUCCGGACGGAGAGGGAAGGGCGGAAUGCUGAAUAAUUGGGUAAUAGAGCCAUGUGCUUUUGUCACCACAAUAGUACUAAAUUAUUUGUUGGGCGGCCCGCCUUCUCCUCAUAGGUUAGUUAUAAUACUAUAUGUUAUUUGUCGGCACCCCGCCUUCGCCUAUUUGGUUUUAGCUAAUUCAACAGAAGUUUGGAGGAUACAAGAGAUUUGCAUCACCGUCACGAGCAUUUGUGGGGGGCACCGACACAACCGUCUCGCGGCCACCCCCAAGUCUUAAGUCGCCUCAUAGUAAUACUAGUUACUAGAGUUUUUUUUGCCAAAAUAACACUUUUUUUUAAAAUAUUUCCAAUGUGAUUCACUUUCAAAUUUUAUUCCCAAAUCGAUGUUAUUGUUGCCACCUAAUUACCCUGAUUGCCAUGUAAAAUAACAAGAAAGGAAAGCUUUAAUCUAGUUUAUAGUUUCCAAUAAAAACUAAAAAUUUAAACUAUUUCAUUAUAGAGGCACAAGAAAUUUGCAUAACUUUGAUAAUUUCCUUAUAAUUAUUUAAAAUAAAAUUUACCAUUAUUGACCUUGCUAUUAUUGCUCUCUGCAAUUUUUUUUUUAAAUGUAUCCAACUUAUUGCAUAUAUUUUUUCAAAAAUAAACUUGCAAAACACAAAAAUUGCAAUGAACAUUAUAAGCAAUAACAAGAAAAAGUUACAAAACUUCAAGGCUAUCAUAUUUGUUUAUGUUAUGCUUCCUACUCCUUAAAAAGAACUUUUACAAAAAGUAAUCAAACUAUUGCAAUUAAGAUAAUGCUAAAGUUUCUCAUAAGUAACACAAGCCAUUAAUUGAUGUUGAAUAAAUGUGCAAAAAUACUUUAAAUAUACGAGAUUAUUUGAUUAUGUGAUAGAGAGGCACUACAAAUGAACAUGCUUAUAUUGAGUAUGAAUUUAUGUUGCUACGUAGUUUUCCUCUUAGACAUUUUAUAAAACACACGGUGUGAGAAAUCAUUUGUCAAAGCAAUUAGUAUUCAAAAUUUUUUGAAGGCCAUAGGAAUGUUCUAAAAACUGCACAAUAGAAAAGACAAGAGAAUAAUCUUCAUUUACCUUGAAAUUAUCAAUUUGAAAAGAAUAUUUUCAUCUACAGAUACAAUAUCAAGAAUGAUAAUGAAAUUUUAGAUGUUGUUAAUAUAAAUAUUGGUUUUUAACAAUUACAUUUAACAAGAAAAAAUAACAAAAGGACACAAAAUAAUAAAGAAAAAAAAAAGGGAAAGUUCGGAGAGAGAAUUAGGAAAGAUAUUAGUUAGAAAAGAGAGAUAGAAUGUGCCUCUGUCUCUAUCCUCUCACACAUGGAAACUAUACGGAAAAAAAGAAUUAUAAAGAUAAUAAAUUUUAAAAUUAGAUUACUCGAUAUAUGUUUCUUAAAAAAACAGAAGAGUUAUUUUGGCAAUAAACUCGUAGUUACUAUGUAUGUAUAUUUUACGCUCCCUCUCCACAUUCCACUCCCACGUCUGGCGCGCAAGGAAUCAUCCAGUCCAUGUCCAUCUCAUAAGUAAAAUAACGUGGCAGCCAGAGGCAGAGAGAGAGAGAGCGCCAGCCAGAAAAGAAACGUAAAGCGAGCAGCAACAUUGAUCGGUAAAUACUAGUAGUAGUAAUGAAACUGGCGGUUAACCACCAAAAAACUGAGAGAAUCACCACAGACAGAGAGAUGGAGAUGGAGGUGGAACAUCAAGUAAAGAAAAUCUUGGAUGAAAUAAACAAAUGAUCAUCGCCACCAGUGACGAAAGUUACAAAUAACAAAAUGGAAUGAAUAAUCACAACGUAUGUAGUAGUGUUGCCCUCAUCCAUAUAUCCCUGAUCAGCACCCCAUUCCAAAACCAUCAAUUACCAACAAAUUGUACUUACAUACUUUAUAGCAGGCAGACAGUAGUAGUUGCAGCAGCAAAUGAAUCGAAAACUUCCGAUGGCAAACCAGAGAAAAAUAUCUUUCAUUCAGCUUGGAGUGGAGGAGGUGGGGUGACGGCGGCGGAUGGAUGGCUUUCUUGAUUUUGGGAGGAAUGGAGCAAUACAAUAGGCAAAUGCAAAAUGCAGCAGCUUAGUUUAGUUUCCAUAUACUGAACUCGUACUACUUACUAGUACUGGGUGGUUGUAAGUGGGACCCGGUCGAAAUUCUUGGAGGAGGAACCGUAACGGAUGGUUUGAGGAAGCCCCGCGUUGUCGGAAGAACCUACGAGCUUUCCCAGUUCAGACUUGACCUUGUAGAAGAUGUGCCUCCAGCUGCCCUUGCUCUGCCGACCCAGGCAGCACUUUCUGCCUCGUUCAUCUCCAGAUCUUUUGCGAAGGUGGCUUCCUGGACAAGAUCCACCCCAUCCCCACUCCCCAUUUCCUUAUUAUGGAAUCCCUCCUCCUCCUCCAUACUGAUGAUGAUCUGCUGUGCCCAUGGAGGACGUAGAUUUGGAUCGGCGAAAUGCCCCGGCCCAUGAUGACGACCAGCGAUGAGAAGAGGAGAGGAGGAGGAGAUCAUCAUCAUCAUGGCGGACGACGACGGUUGUAGCUGCAUCUGCAUCUUGAGGGACAGGGAGGAGAGUCUCUUGCGAAUGCCGCCUCCGCCACUCAAUGGCCCACUUUCACUUUGUACUUCAUUAUUACUGCUGCUACUAUUGCGGUUGUGCUUGGUAUAUUUUAACGACGUUGGAGUCUGCGGGGCGGUGUGACAGAGGAAGGCCCUGCUGCCGCUGCUUGUUCUGUUGAAAGCUUUGAAAUAGAGAUCCCAUCUUGAUUCCCUCCUUAGCUACUCCAAACCUUAAGCUUUAGCUGCUGCUGUUGCCACCGACCAAAACUAAGAUCUGGGUUUCGGCCCGGAAAAAACCUGGACAACUAUAGCUACGCCACAGCAAAAUCGAGUCUAUUCUUGAAACACAACAAAUAAUACAACACAGAGAGAGAGAGCACAAGUACACAACACAACACGACUCAAAAACAAGAGGAUCGAUCGAUCGAUCGAUAAACAAAAAGGGCGGUGAGCUGUAGCAGUCACA
rnacentral:lncRNA from 1 species